rnacentral:lncRNA from 1 species
UGGGCCUUUCCUCCAUAUUUCCUGAUAACCCCCUGCAGAAAUAGACAAACACCAAAACUCGUGGAUUUCUAUCAGAUAAAACCCUAAGUCUGGGUGUUGGUUGCGUUUGGAUCCUUUUAUUUAUUUAUUUGAUGAUUAAAUUUGGUACUUAAGGACCGUCAACACCCCCUCAACAAAUAGAGCCGUUGGCUCUUUCACUGGGCUGAAAACGGGGGCACCAGAUGCUACUAAGUGAUCACCGGACGCUCGACCCCCUGCGUCCGGUGCUCUAGCGUUGGCCAUGUUUCCUCCUUUGAAUCUCACGCGUAAAUCUCUAAUGGUCACCUGCAGACCACCGGACGUGUCCGGUACUCAUCGGACUCGUGCACAGAGAGUUUUGCAAACCGCGACCGGACUCGGAGCACCGAACGGUUCGAUGCUCACCGGACUCGUGCACAGAGAGGGUUGCAAGAUGCCCUCACACUGGACGCGAACCACCGGACGCACUCAGAGCGUCCAGUGCUCUCAGUCAAACACCCUCUGCUUAAGUCAGGCCACACCGGACGCAUGAACAGGGAACACCCUGCGUCCGGUGCCCUACGUCCAGUGCUCAACCCUAAUAGGGCCGAACACUGAUAGCACACCGGACGCUUAGGCCAGCGUCCGGUGCCUCCGUGCACUGCGUCCACUCCCGUGACUUCUCCAAAUUUCCCACCAGCGCAAUAGAAAAUAUACACUUAAUUUUCUCAAAAGCACCGAAUCCAGCCUUGCAAGCUCAGCGGGAGGGAGAGAGGAACCUAAACCCCUCUCUACCCUAGGAACUCCACCUCCUUUGCAAAUGUGCUAACACCACCAAGUGUCCACCACCAAAGUGCAUGUGUGUUAGCUUUUCACAAACAUUUUCACCAAAGGAGUUAGGUUAGCACUUUACUAGAUCCUAAUGCAUAUGCUCAAGAUAUAGACUUAGUAGCACUUGAUUUGAGAAAUGAAUGUGAUUUCCCCUCUUGAUAGUCUGCUAUCUAUCCUAAAUCUGGUUAAUCACUUCUCUACUCAAUCUCAGACCGGCAAAAGUAAAACCCUAUGUUUAUACCUUUGCCUUGAACAAUUUGCUCCUCAUCUAUCACCAUGAUCUCCACUUCAUGCUUCAUCCCUUUGUGAUCAUGUGGCCACCGUUCCAUGCCACUAUGCACCUUCAUCACAUGUGUUGCCAUGCCUAACUCAAAUUACUUAAACACAAGGCAUUAGCAACUUGGUGUCAUUAAUUACCAAAACCAAACUUUGGCUUUCACUAUCCUAGACAUAUAAUCAAAGUAGACAAUGACUAAUGCAAUUAAGAACAUAUGAAUCUAUUAAGAAUAAAGUCUCUCUAAUAUACAAUUAAAUACUAUAAAGUAAGAACUAGAUCUAUUACCGAACUCUUGCGCUCUAGACCGACGCCAGGGGCUCCAGAUCCCGAUGAAGAACUAGAUCUCCUCUACUUCUAAUCUAACUAACUAGAACUAUGAACUAGAAGGCUCUUGAUGAACUUGAAGGCGCUUGAUGCUUGAUGGCUUGAGGCCUUGAUGAACUGGUUGAUUGAUGGAUUGAUUGUCUCCAAGGAGGGUCUACAAUGUAUUUAUAGUCUGGUGGGAUGCGCGUGCAUCGUAGGAUCAAACCGACUUAACCAAGGGCCGAGAUGACUCCUCAAAGGCGGUGGAGGAAGCUUCCAGAAGACGGAGCCGAAACCCUAAAGGGGAGCGCCGGCCGGCGCUAGGGUGGGGCCGGCCGGCCCCACCUGGCAGCCGCCAGACCCCCCGUUGCUCUGGGUGGCUUCUCGAUUCUUUCUGAGUCUUCUCACGACGUUUCUCGUGGCGAAUACGUUUUCAUGUUUAUUUUGCACUAGAGUCCCUCUAUUUCAGCUUUUCUGAAAUUCACCCUAGAAAAUACAAAAUAUACAAAACUCGUGGAAAUUGUUAGUUUAAACCCUAUAUACUAGUGUGUAUUCAUGUUCUCCUUCAGGUUUAAAGUUAUAAUAAAAAUUGACGUUAUCGACCGUCAACAAGGCCCAAGGAUUAAUACUAGUCUACUUGCCAAAUGGAUUAACAGACUAGAGAGAGGGGAUAAUAGCAUUUGCUGCAAUCUUCUAAGAAGGAAAUAUUUGGAAGAAAAAAAUAUUUUUUUAAAAUUAGAGGUAGACAGGGCUCUCAAUUUUGGAGAUCUUUGCUAGACAUUCGAGAAUGGUAUCAGAAGGGCAUGGCUUGUUCAAUAUGGUUACUCUGGAAGCAGGGAGAGACAAGGUGCAUUGGGCAGAGCAAUCCAGAAAGUAUUCAUCAUGCUCUCUGUACGAAUUCAUUAUUUUUGGUGGGAUUAUAGAUCAAAAAUUGAUAAAUGUAUGGAGGUGUAAUAUCCCUUUGAAAGUCAAGAUCUUUAUUUGGAUGGCUGCCCAUGAUAGAAUUCAAUUAGGAGUCCAAUUAAACAAAAAACAGCGGACAGGGCUAGAAAAUUGUGUUGCUUGUGACAAACUGGAAACAACAGAUCAUAUUUUAUUCUAAUGCCCCAUUGCAGUUUUUCUUUGGUCUUUCCUGAGGGUUGCUUUGGGUUGGACCAAAUCCCCAACCAACUGUACAGAUUUCUUGUUAGAGUUUGCUGAUGACUGCAAAGGCGUUAAAAGUAAGGUAACACUCAUCAUUUGUUCAGGAACGUUAUGGAUAAUUUGGAAGACGAGGAAUGACAUGGCCAUCAACAAGAAGGUUCUCACUUCCCCUAAAGUGAUCAUCUACAAGACCCUGAUGCUGAUCAAAUCCUGGCGGCUAAUGUUGAAGUCGAAGCUGGAACCUACAGCGGAGGAGAUGUUCAACUUGCUGGUUCGUUACAUGUACUUACCUUGAUCAUGCAUAUCAUAUAAUUAGUGUGAAGUCAUGAAUACCUUAAAAAUAAAAUGCACUCUAGAGCUUUCCAGUUGAAAUAAGGUGACAAAAACCACAGUUUAGGAUCGGAUUCUGGUACUUGUAUUUUACGAGGCCUCAUUGAAACCAGAAAAAAUCUUAAAUCUUGGCCAAAAAGUCGAUGAUAUUCUAAACCACCAUUGGAUCGAAGGAAGCACAAGAGUGCAUGUGUUCAGUAGGGAUCUAGAUUCCCAUAGAAACAUUUUAGAUUUAUAUUAGAAAAAUAUUUCAGAUGAUGAAUCAGAAUCACUUCAUGAGAUUAGAGUAAGCUGGAUUCUGAUUCACAAAAAAAAUGUUUUUAUAAAGAAUCAUAUAAAAACAAUUCUUCACCUAAAUUGAAACCUUUUGUGGAUGAAGAACAACUUAAAUACAACAUAUUUGAACUUGUUUCACUCGAAAAGGAUUAACUGAAAAAUUGUCAGUACAGUCGGCCGACCGCUUCUUGUUGCUAGGAAGAUAAAGAGAAAUGAUUCUACACCAACCCAUUUUUGCAGUGAUUCUAGCCUUCCAUGCUAAAGCCGAGAUGAGAAUUCACAAAAUGCAUCAUGCUGCCUUAAAGCUCGGCGUCUCGGCCCAUACAAGAUGAAACUUCCGGCCUGAUUGAUUGACUUUUUUUGUGACCUCUCCAUGACCAUGACCACCACACAAAUUUAUAGAAAUUCCGCUUUAUAAGAUCAUGAUUUUAAAUAUAUCCUGGAUGGUUUUUUUAUUUUUACGUUUUCAUUCACUUUUUCUAUAUCUGUAGUUGUUUCAAGAUUUGUGAUAUCUUCUUGUUGUCUUAUGUUGGGCUUUGUCAAUCCCAUAUGUGGACACUGAUUUGAUUGUCGUCUCCUGUUCAAAAUUUUGGCCCAAUAAGAUUUGUUGAUGUACUUUGUUGAGAGGGCGGAAACGAAUUUGCGAUCCGUUUGCCGUAAGUUAGGAUGAAUAAAUCAAUGUAUAUAGGUCCGGUAACAUCAAAUUAUAUUGCAAAUUUGCAACACUAACCGAGAACUAGAAACAUCAAGCAGACUGUCAAAAUGCACCUGAACCUUUGAUUGAACGCUGGCAGCACGCGAGUACGCGACGAGGAGAUGGUCGUGGACCCGGAGCAGAAAAGCAGCUUGCAACUAGAGGAUUUUUGUCGUUGUAUAAUAUUUUAACUAACGGGUAUUUUUUUCAAAAAAAAAUUGUUUAGAAGUGAAGACAAGGUCAUCCAAAUGAGAGGGCAGCAACAUUAUACGAUCCACUAGGGAUGAAAACAAGAAUGAUAAUCUCCGAUUUUCAGAAAUCAUUUUGGAGUUUUUUUUUAUUUUUAGGCCUAAAUGAAAAUGAUAACGGUAAACAAAAAAAUGAAAAUGAUAAUGGUAAAAAUAAUUGAAAACAAAAGCAAAAGUGAUUUUUGCCUUCUUCCGAUCGUUUUCGAAGAUUCUCGUAUUUAACUGAUAAUUUACAGUUGAUAAUAACCAAUUCAAAGGUUUUUAAUUAAUGAUAUGCCUGACAUCCAACUUUAGGAAGUCUAUAGGCUACAACCUCCAAGAGAAACUUUAAUAAUUCAUGUUUUGAUUACUAUGCUAUGUUGAGUCAACUUGGAACAUGAUUGUUUAUAUUAUGUCUUUGUCAAGAAUUGUCGUACUGUUGCGUGGUUUGCUAAAGAUGGUGUGAACUGUGUGGUUUCAGCUUUUGAUUUUGUCAACUGUAGCUUUAUUUAUUAUUGUCAUGUGAGAUAGGCCGAGUUAUAUAGAUCUUUUCAUAUUUGACAGUUUAACGUGUUUAUCGUUUAUAGGAUAUUGUUCUCAUGGAUUCUGAUCGUUCUCAAUAUAUUUUCUGAUCAACUACUAUCAUGUUCGAAAUUAUCGGAAUAUCGGUGCCGUAUUCGUUUUCGAGAAUAUUGUACUGAUUUCGUUUUUAAGAAAAAAAUGAAAACAAAAAUGAUUUGGUCUGCUAUUGAUGGUUUCCGAUCGUUUUUAUCCUACGAUCCACCCACCUUGCAAAUUGUUGUAUCUCUUCUCUACCGUAUUUUGUUGUCUGAAAAAAAACUACUCAGGUGACCCCGCACACCUUGCCUCGCUAUUAUCCGACUCCUGAUAGGAUGAUACAGAAGUGUGACCAGCAGCGCCGCUAUCGAUCUCCUAAAUCCUAACAUCUAACAUCUAUAGUGGUAUGUAAGCUGGCUAAAUACUGAUGUGGAGGAGAAAAGGAAUGAGAGAGAGGAGAAGCAGGCUAUAAGCUUACAACCAGCUUAGACACAAUAACCAAGAAACUUUUUGAGAGAGAUAAGUGGGUCAAAUAUUAAUAGUGAAUAACUAACUAUUGUAUAGGUAGGCUGGGAGAAGGCUGUAAAGAAACUUACAGUCACCAAAUAGACUGUAUUAUUAAACUUGCUCUCAGGGCACGGUGGGGCGGAGAUCACCGUGUCCGUUCUCUGAUCAUGUACUAAUGUUGGUGUCCAGGAGACUCAACUGACCUGUUGGACUCGUGGACUGUUUAUGGCGAGGAAGAUCUCAUCAAUGGUGAAACUUUCGAGUUUUUCGACCAAUACGUUUAAAUUCUAUAAUUCUUGAUUGCUGGCCCCGAGAAUCGAUGAAAAUCUCCUUGUCGGUGUUUUUCCCCCGGGGGGUCACACCAACGAGUAAAUUUGUAUGCGUGCUCCCUUUUCCGGAUGGUGAUGCAAGAAGACACAGAGAUUUAUCCUGGUUCGGGCAAGAGAAGGCCCUACGUCCAGCGGGGGGAGAGAGUUUGUAUUAUCUUGCACCUAAGUGCUUGUAUAGGGGCGAAUACAAGCGUGGUAUGAAGUGUGGAGCUUUACUAUGUAUGAGCGUGCCCUUUUUUCUAUUCCCGAGUCUCUCCUUUUAUAGCUCCAAGGAGAGACUCAGGGUACAUGCGUAGGUGUUAGAGUAGGGGUCGAUAGCCGCAUGGAGCGCUGACCUACUCGAGGUUUCCGUACCGGCAUGCCCUCGAGCCGUCCCGUCUUAAUAGCCUGGUGAUGAUCACGCGUGCCCCUGCAUUCUGCUCUGCGCGCCGUCUUGGAUUGGUUCGGCGGGUGCACGCUUAUAAGGCCCGGCGGCAAAUCCGGCGGGGCGGUUACGGCGUGGUCAUUUGACGCCCGACUCGUCCCCAGGAAGGAGCCUGGUGAGGUCGAGGGUCGGACGCCGCACGAGGUGUCGAUAUCUGGAGCGCUGACCUUGGGUGUCUCGAGGGGGUCCCGAUUAGACGUUCCAUCCUUGUUUCUCGUGUCCUGGCAUGCCCUGGGCCGUUCGGUGGGAAGGCUGCAAAAAGAACGAUGGGACGGAAGCCUCCCGUGGCCCAUGUGUUAGGUGGGGAAGCGUCAGGUGCAUUAAAUGCUCCGACCCGCGUGCGCGCAUCAGGCGGCGGACAGUGUCCUUGCGCUCGACGCCCCUCGGUUCGCUCGAGCCCGCUUCCGUAUUCGACGGCAGUUGCUGCUCGAGCCUUGGCCGACUCGCUCGACGGUAUUUCCGUCUUCGAGGCUGCGGCCGUCGAUGGUCGCCCGUGUGUACGGAUGGUUUCGUUAUACGCAUUGGUGAGGGUACCCCUUGUUGGUACCCUCGACAGUAGCCCCCGAGUCUUCAGUCGAGCGCUGGCGCUCGAGUGAAGACUUUCGUUUUUUAUGGUCGAGCUUCCACGGGGGCGCGCGAGCGACCCCACGGGGGUAGCCCCCGAGCCCUCGAGGGAGUAUUUAACUCCUUCGGGGACUUAUUUCGCCAAAUUUUGCAGAAACGCUAUCAACACCCGUGGUGGGAGGUUCUGUUCGGCUUUGCCUUGCUUGGAAGUUUCAACGUACUCUCGAUAGAGCGAGCGUCUUCCACCCCAGUUUGAGUUCCUAGCGGGUAGUCCAAGUGAGAACCUGUGCCCCUUUCGAGGGGGUCAGCUGUAGCCCGGAGGCGUCCUCAUAAAGCAGGGUCGACGUGGUCGGGGAUACCGGUCUCGUUCGAUAGAGUCCAGCGGCUCGGUGCCUCCCUUCGGGGGGAUUCCUCUCGACUGUCUCAACCCUACCUUGGACAUCGCCAGCGAGUCUUCGAGGCGGGCCUCGAUUUUCGACCACUCGCUGGGAUCCCUGACUCUUGGUGCUCGAGAUCGGCUGUCGAACCCUUUCGACGGGCCAGCCAUCGACCUCUCGAGACUAUCGUGGGCGCAUACCUUGGCUUACGAAGUAAGGAAGCUGCCGUGCCGGUUCGUCUUUCUGCCCGUUGGGCGCACCUUUUGAGGUAAGUGACGUCGCGACACUGUAUCGGCGGGGAAUUCGGAGCGUCCGGCCUGUGAGGAGAGAAAGGACCGUCAGACGGCGCAUUUAUGGGGGGAGUUACCUUAUUUGUUGGAUCUGUCCGUUGGCGGACUGCUGCCUAUAAGUACGUCGUGGCGUCGCUGCCGUUCCUCUCCCUUCCACCUUCUUGCUCUUAUUCCUUUGCUGCCUUUGCUUUCUCGCCAUCUCACGCGCACACGCCCCUCGAGCUGUAGCGAACCCACCGUCCCUUUAGCCGAGAUGCCUGUAAGACUCGUCGCCGCCGACGACUGGCGCCCGUCGUCGAUGACGGAGCGCCGGCUGUUAGAGCUUGAGAAGGAGGGACUGCUGCGCCGCCGCACCUCGCUGUCGUCGCCAGAGUGGAUCACGCCGCCGGCAAGUCACAGGGCGCCUCAGCCGCCCGAGGGCUACGUGGUGUCGUUCGCCAAGUUCCACCGCCACGGUCUGGGCGCGCCCCCAAGCCGCUUCAUGCGGGCCCUCUGCUUCCAUUAUGGGGUGGAGCUCCAGCACUUCUCUCCGAACGCCAUCACCGUAGCGGCGGUCUUCGCCGCCGUGUGUGAGGGCUUCCUGGGGAUGAUGCCGCACUGGGAGCUGUGGCUCCACCUUUACAGGGGCGAGCUGUUUCACGCCCCCACCGGAACCACGGGCGUAAGGAAGCCCGUGCGGGCGGGUUGCCUCAAUCUGGUGCAGAAGACGGGGAAGACGGACCGGCCACGGGAGUACAUCUCGGUAGGGUUAUCGACCAACCACGCCAGCUGGGACUCCCAGUGGUUCUACCUGCGGAACGACGACAACCUCCUGCCCUCCUACUCGGGCCGUCUGAUCUUGGAGCGUCCAGCGGACUGGACGUACGGCGUCGUCCAAGCUCAUCAGUCUCGGCUCGACCCCCUCCUUGACGCCCUAAAGAAGCUUCGCCAGGAAGGUUUGACCGCCGCCCUCGUCCUCUCGGCCGUCCAUCACCAGAGAGUUCUCCCUCUGAUGUCACGACCGCUGAGGAUGGACGAGAUGGGCCCUGGCGUCUCAUCUCGGGACCUCGAGGCGUGUCGGAUGUCCAACGAGGCUCCGGCGGACGACGAAGUCGCGGCCCGAGUCAGGGCUGCCAUUGCCGGUGAUUUUCAGCCGGAUCAUGUCAACGGCUUCCCCAUGAGACCUGACGCAGGCUCGAUCGAUCUGGUACGCUUUCUUCUUGCGCGCAUCCCUGAUUCGGGGUUUCCUUUCUCCCCUCUCUUUUUUCUAAGUCUAUUGUAGUUUUGGUAGGGUCGGAUUGAUGUCCGGUCCUCGAGGCCUCCGGUAAAGGAGGACGAGGUCGAUCGCGACAAGCAGCGCCAAUCCGCCGAAAAGCUGAAGUCUGCCAAGGACUCCGCAAAGAAGGGGGAGAAGAAGAAGAACCUCGACCGCCAAGCAUUAGAGGCGCGUCGAGCCAAAUCCAGGUAGAGGGGGGAGCCUGAGGAAGAAUCCCCAAAUGAUGAUGAUGACGACGACGAGGACAGCGACGACUCCGAGGGGAUGGCGUCGCGCCUCGAUCAGAUUCUCGAGGGCCCGCCUCGAGGUGACGUCGACGCCCCCCGGACGGAGGCGCCAGAGGAGGGUCCGAGCGGAUCUCGUCGUCCCCGGGCCGACACUCCUUCCGCGCCCAAGGCGGGCCAAGACGCACCGCGCCCUCCCCCGGUGCCCAGGGAGAGCGGUCCGGCUAGGUCCCAGGCGUCGGGGCCGCUAACUCGUGGUCGCGCUGCGGCCUCUGAGAAAGGAGACGCCGGCCGUAGGAGCGCGAGUCCCGGCGUCCGCCAGGCGGGGACCGACGUACCUAAGCAGUUCCUGCCUUCGAGGGGCCUAGAGCCCCGACGCGGGGUGGCUCGAGGCCCGCUGGUCGGGGUGGCGGAAGGCGAGCCGUUCUCCCCGUGGGGAAAGCCUUUUUGAUGUUGCGGUUUUUGUCCCCCCAUUCUUCCACCUUUCCUCAUAUGCCGACCUUUUCUCAGGCUGAAGCGGACCCUUGAGCAGGCCCAACCGUCUAUGGCCAAGAGGCUCAGAACGGGUGCCGCCUCCUCGAAACCAGGUUCGUAGUUAAUUCCCGGGCGUCGCGAUAUUCUUACGUUGGUUAUCAUAACGUCUGACCCUUGCCCUUUAUUUUGUAGGCUCAUCCAGCCCCCAAAUUCCAGCCGGCGUCGAGAGGGCUUCAUCUCGUCCCGCGCCUACUCCGCCGCCGCCGACUCAUGAUGCGGCCCCCCAGACGCGAGCGUCAGAGGGAGCCCCCGAGCCCCCUCGAUUGGGGGUCGAGGGGGAACCCAUCACCAUCAGCGAUACGUCUAAUGGCAACGAAACGUCUGGGGGCGCUCGCCCUAUGGAGGAAGAAGUGUCGACCCCCAACGUCGCGGGACGGACUCCCUGGCCUGCAGGCCUUCGAGCUCUCGAGGCGCAAAGGAAGAUGGUGGAGGAGGAGGAGCGGGAGCGCGAGGCGACGCAGCCGUCACUGGAGCAGCAGCAGCAACAACCCCAGCCGGAGGAGCAGCUGCAGCAUCAUCAGGAGGAGCAGCAGCAGCAGCUGGGGCAGCAACAGCAGCUGGGGGGCCAAGAGGACGAGCCACUCGAGCCCCCGCCUCAAGGUUUGGCCGAACCGGCGCCACUGGCGUCGCAAGAGCCCAGCGAUCAAGAGGGAAAUUUGCCGGUGUACGGACCUCCCACCCCAGCGUGGCUCCUCCCGGGGGCGCCUGCCGCGAUCCGGGCAGAGUCGGGGCGAGCGGACGGAGUGGUGGCGCUCGCCUGCAUGAUGCGCACCCCCACCGACCCCGAGUCCGAGAUCAAGAGGACGAUCUACGGCAUGGACGGGAUCGCCCCAGGGUUCCUCCGGGAGCGUCGAGCAUGGGAGGACCGCUUUCCCUCUGAGGAGGAUGAGAUUGGGUCGUCUGGGAGCAAGGACGGUACGUGGAAGACGGUGGACGACGACGGGCGGUUCCCUUGCCUCGCCGACCUGUUCUUGCGCCACGGGGGUUCCCUCGAGACCGUCGAGAACUUUAUCCGCGGCGUCAAGGCGCGGGCUGAUCGGGAGAUGGAGAACUGGUGUCCCGAUCGGAUUCGUAUCCGAGCUUCCACCGACCCGUCCGAGCCCAAUAUUUUCCUCGACGACAAGAAGGAGGUCGAGAAGUGGGAGCAUGUCGAGGAGCUCCGCCUUUGGAUGAAACACGUGGUGGGGCUCCUAUCGGACGUCAUCAACAACGGGCUUGGGCCAGCUUAUUUUGUAAGUGUUUCUCGAGCUCCAAUCUUUAUGGUGCUUUCUGGUUUCUGUAUUCUAAUCCCUCCGACCCCUGAUUCGCAGGAUAUGAAAGAGACCUCUCGCAUCAAGUCCAGCUUCAUACAUGCCACGAGGGACGGAUGGGAGCAGCUUCCCCUCCUCAAGGAUCAACUCCUCGAGUCGCAGGAAAAGCUGCUUAAAGCUUACAAAGAUCUCAUAGCACUCGAGGAGGAGAAGAAGGCGAGGGAGGCUGCUUUGGCCGAGGCCCGGGAGGUCUCGAAGAAGGCGGAGGAGGAGGCGAUGCAGCUACGGGAGCGGGCUCUUACGGUCGAGGAGGCCGCGUCCAGAGCCCCGGAGGAGGCCCUGUCCUACAAGAGCGUCAUUGCGGACCUGGACAAGGAGAAGGGCCUUCUCCAAACCGACCUGGACUCCCUCCGCGAUACCUUCCAGAAGAUGAAAGUGGCGUACGUGGACAAUGAGGUCGCCAGGGGUGCCGCCGAGGACACAAAGAAGAAGGCCCUCGAAGACCUCGAGAUGGAGCGAGCUCGAUCCCGCAGUCUCUCUGACGACGUCGAGCGUCUGAAGGGAGAAUUGCUGGAGAAGAGUGGAGCCGUCGCUCAGGCUGGCAGGGUGAUCGAAGAUCUCCGCGUCGCCAAUACUGAGCUGGCGCGCUCCAACAGAGAGAUCGAGCGUGCCAACACCAGAUUGGUCGACGAGAACACGGCCCUAGAGGAGAGCAUCAAAGGUAUGUUUCCUUUGUCGAAUUUCCUUUUCGAGGUGUGCUUGAGUUUUUCCUAAAGCUUCUUUGUAUUGGCAUUUAUAGGGCUCAAGGACGAACUCCUGGCCGCCCAAGCCGAGGCUCGCAACGCCAAGGCUCAGCUCGAGGCUGAGGUUGCUUUGAACCGUCGAGUGCAGACGGCGAUAAGCGAUCUCUCGACCUCUUGGGAGGUCGAGCCUAUGGAUGAGUCGAGGGAGGACGCCCGAGGCGACGCCCUGAUCGACCAGUUGUGCUACAUAAGCGUGACGCUGCGAGAUCGGGUGCGGGACGCCCUCCACAUCGGGGUGAAGCGGGCGAUGGCGGUUGUCUGCUCGGGCUUCUCCUACGACAUGGAGGUGGUGUCCCAUGGCUUCGUCACCGACAUCUCCAAGACCGACGCGGAGAACGAGGAGAGGCUCCAUGCCUUGAUCGACGACGCGGAGGCUCCUGGGGAAAGGUUGGCCAAGCUCUUCGAGCCUGAGGUGCUCCCUCCUGAGGCUAGCUCGGGCGGAGGCGAGGGCGGUGAGGGUCGUGCCGCGGACUGAGGCCUGCGAGCCUGCUCAGGGCGCCUGAGGCCCCUUGUACGAUACUUUAUUAAUUCUGCUGUUACGUGAUAUAGUAUCUUUUUGUAAUUGUUAACUGCUUAUUUGUCUUUCCGCUCGAGGUUCCUUUGUUUCUCUUUGUUCCUACGUUUGUAUCCCUUGCUCGACCUUUCGUCAGAAACAACCUCGAUUACCUCAAGGGUGAGGAAGUGAGUAGAGUUUCCGUAGCCCAGGGGCGUGGGAGUUUUCCGGCUCAUUAUCCCUCGGCCUUUGAGGGGCUCGAGGUGCCUUAGCUACUCGAACCGUGCAAGGUUUACCAAGCAAGAAAAGAAAAUUUCUUGGCUUUUUCGACGCUUGGGGAGGGGUCGUCCCUCUGGUAGCCCCCGAGGGGGUGCGGACUAUGAUGGGUCAUGGUCGGCAUCCCCUUUUGACGUCGAGACUAUAACUCGUAACUAUUUUUGGUACAGAGAGAAGCCGCUCGAGGGAAAGACUUUAUUUAUUCAUGCGUUCAUUUACAAAGUCUUUGUACAAAAUGUAGGAUCGUAAGUCUAGGACUUCUAGGGGUAGAAUCGACGUAGCUGUUCGAUGUUCCAUGCGUUGGUGAAGACUGCCCCCUUUUCGUCCGCCAAUUUGUACGUUCCUGGCUUAAGGACCUCGGCCACCACAUACGGGCCUUCCCAAGGUGGGGUCAGCUUGUGGCGCCCUUGGUUGCUUUGCCGGCGUCGUAGGACAAGGUCGCCUACGUUGAGGUCCCUCUUGCGCACGUGCUUGUCGUGGUAGCGUCGGAGUCUCUGCUGAUAUCUAGCAGAGUUGAGGAGGGCCAUGUCUCGAGCCUCCUCGAGUUGGUCGACCGCGUUUUCUUGAGUUUCUUUGUUCGAUUGCUCGUUGUAAGCCUUGAGUCGAGGUGACCCAUACUCGAGGUCUGUGGGGAGGAUAGCCUCAGAGCCGUAGACCAUGAAGAACGGGGUGCAUUUGGUGGCCCUGCUUGGCAUUGUCCUUAGGCUCCAUAGGACUGAGGAAAGCUCCUCGACCCAUUUCUUGCCGAAUUUCUUCAAUCGAUUGUAGAUCCUUGGCUUGAGUCCUUGCAAAAUCAUGCCGUUGGCACGCUCGACCUAGCCGUUAGUUCGAGGGUGGGCUACUGCAGACCAGUUCACACGGAUAUGAUGCUGAUCGCAGAAAUCCAAGAACUUUCUGCCGGUGAACUGGGUGCCGUUGUCGGUGAUGAUGACAUUGGGGAUCCCAAACCGAUGGAUGAUGUCGGUGAAGAAGAGGACGGCCUGCUCGGAGCGGAUGUUGGUGAUGGGCUGAGCCUCGAUCCAUUUUGAGAACUUGUCAAUGGCCACCAGCAGAUGGGUGUAUCCUCCUUUCGCCUUUUGCAGAGGCCCUACUAAAUCGAGCCCCCAUACCCCAAACGGCCAGGUGAUGGGGAUCAUCUGAAGAGCGUGGGCGGGCAGAUGCGUCUGCUUGGUGUAGAACUGGCACCCAUGACACGAGCGCACGAGCUCGAUGGCAUCCGCCACAGCCGUUGGCCAGUAGAAACCUUGCCGAAAAGCGUUCCCUACAAGGGUCCGUGGAGCGGCGUGGUGGCCACAAGCCCCCGAGUGCAGGUCAUCGAGGAGUUUUCGGCCUUCUUCUACGGUGAUGCAACGUUGUAAGACCCCCGUCGGGCUCCGUCGAUAUAGCUCGUUGUCUUCGCCAUAGAUCACGUAUGAUUUGGCCCGUCGAGCGAUACGACGAGCUUCUGUCUUGUCUUCUGGUAACUCGCCGCGGAUAAGGCAGUCGAGGAACGGUGUGCGCCAAUCGAAUGGUCGACCCGGUCGUCGUUCUAUCUCCAUCACCUCUUCCACCAUCAAGUGCGUAUCGACAGCAUUGGUUGGUUGGGCGGUGGUGGUGUCGACGCCAGCCCCCGUGCCUAGGUCGACGGAUGGCUCGUGAAGAUCCUUUGAGAAUGCAUCAGGCGGCACUGUGCCUCUGGUAGAUGCGAUCUUGGCGAGUUCGUCGGCUGCCUCGUUGUAGCGUCGAGCGACGUGGACAAGCUCGAGGCCGUGGAACCUGUCUUCGAGUCGACGGACCUCCUUGCAGUACGCUUCCAUUUUUGGGUCGUGGCAACUCGAGGUUUUCAUUACCUGGUCGAUGACGAGUUGGGAGUCGCCUCGGACGUCGAGGCGUCGGACUCCUAACUCGAUAGCGAUCUUGAGACCGUUGACGAGGGCCUCAUAUUCUGCGACAUUGUUAGAUGCGGCAAAAUGAAUCCUGAUUAUGUACCUCAUGUGGACGCCCAAGGGUGAGAUGAACAGCAGGCCGGCUCCGGCUCCCGUUUUCAUGAGCGACCCAUCGAAAUACAUCGUCCAUAGUUCCGCCUGGACCUGGGUCGGGGGGAGCUGGGUGUCCGUCCAUUCUGCGAUGAAGUCUACCAGGGCCUGCGAUUUGAUGGCCUUUCGAGGCGCAUAAGUGAGAGUCUCACUCAUGAGCUCGACGGACCAUUUUGCUAUUCUUCCCGUGGCUUCUUUGCUCUGGAUUAUUUCGCCUAAAGGAAAAGACGAGACCACCGUGAUGGGGUGGCCAAGGAAGUAAUGCUGCAGCUUGCGACGGGCAAGGAUUACGGCAUAAAUCAGCUUCUGGAUUUGGGGAUAACGUGCUUUGGUUUCCGAAAGCACCUCGCUGACGAAAUAUACUGGCCUCUGAACCGGUAACGCAUGUCCCUCCUCCUGCCUCUCGACCACCACCGCCGCGCUGACGACUUGGGUCGUCGACGCGACGUAGAGGAGCAGCGGCUCUGCAGGUUGAGGUGGAACCAGGACUGGUGCCGAGGUCAGCGUCUUUUUCAGUUUUUCGAGUGCUUCCUCGGCCUCGGGGGUCCAAGAAAAGCGCUCGACCUUCUUUAGGAGUCGAUAUAAUGGUAAUGCCUUUUCUCCUAGUCUCGAGAUGAAACGGCUCAGAGCCGCCAGGCACCCCGUGACUCUCUGCACACCCUUGAUGUCUCGGAUUGGCCCCAUUUUCGUGAUGGCCGAGACUUUCUCGGGGUUGGCCUCGAUACCGCGCUGCGAAACGAUAUAUCCUAGGAGCAUGCCUCGAGGCACGCCGAAAACGCACUUCUCGGGAUUGAGCUUGAUCCGGCUGGUGCGUAAGCAGCUGAAGGCAACCUCGAGGUCCUGGAUCAGGUCUCCUCGUCGCUUUGACUUGACGACAAUGUCGUCGACGUAGGCCUCGACCGUUGAGCCUAUAUGUUCGCCAAAUACGUGGAGCAUGCAACGUUGAUACGUGGCUCCCGCGUUUCAAAGCCCAAAUGGCAUGGUCACGUAGCAAUACAUCCCGAAAGGCGUGAUGAAAGAGGUCGCGAGCUGGUCGGACUCCUUCAUUUUUAUUUGGUGGUAACCAGAAUAAGCAUCAAGGAAAGAAAGGGUUUCACAUCCCGCGGUAGAAUCGACAAUCUGAUCAAUGCGUGGCAAUGGAAAGGGAACUUUUGGACAUGCUUUAUUCAAACUAGUAUAAUCGACACACAUCCUCAUUUUCCCAUUCUUUUUCUUAACUAAUACAGGGUUCACUAACCAGUCAGGAUGAUGAACCUCCUUGAUGAAUCCGGCCGUCAAAAGCUUGUGGACUUCCUCGCCAAUGAUCUUGCGCUUUUCCUCGUCGAAUCGGCGCAACCGCUGCUUCACUGGCUUGGAACCGGCUCAAAUCUCCAAGGAGUGCUCGGCGACUUCCCUCGGUAUGCCUGGCAUGUCCGAGGGACUCCAUGCAAACAUAUCAGCAUUUGCACGGAGAAAGUCGACGAGCACGGCUUCCUAUUUGGGGUCGAGGUCGGUGCUGAUCGUCAGCACCUUGCCGUCGGAGUUGUUUGGGUCGAGCGGGAUCUUCUUGGUUCCUUCCGCCGCCUCGAAGCUGCCCGCAUGACGCUUAGGCUCUGGAGCCUCAGCGGCCAUGGCCUCGAGCUUUGCAACGAGCUCGGUGGAGCUCUCGACCGCCUCCCCGUACUCGACGCACUCGACGUCGCACUCGUACGCGUGCUCGAAGGAGGAACUGACAGUGAUGACGCCUUUGGGACCAGGCAUCUUCAGCUUCAAGUAUGUGUAGUUGGGUAUAGCCAUGAACUUGGCGUAGCCCGGGCGCCCGAUGAUGGCGUGGUACGUGCCUCGGAACCCAACCACCUCAAAGGUGAGGGUCUCCUUCCUGAAGUUGGCCGCCGUGCCGAAGCAGACCGGUAGGUCGAUUCGACCUACUGGCAGUGCCUUUUUCCCUGGCACGACGCCAUGGAAACCGCCGGCGCUUGGCUGGAGGCGUCCUCUAUCGAUGCCGAGGAGAUCGAGGGUCUCGAGGUAGAUGAUGUUGAGGCUGCUGCCACCAUCCAUCAUCACUUUCGAGAGUCGGGUGUUGACGAUGAUGGGGUCGACGACGAGCGGGUAGACGCCUGGGGCGACUACCUUGUCAGGGUGGUCUUCUCGGUCGAAAGUGAUGGGAGUGCUUGACCAGCUAAGGUAUUGGGGCACCGCCAUUCUUGCUGCAAAGACUUCGCGACGCUCCCUUUUGCGCUGCCUCGUGGUCAACUGAGUCGAGGGCCCGCCAUAGAUCAUGUAGCAGUCGUGGACGGCGGGGAAGCCGUCGUCAUCUUUGUUGUCCUCCUUGCCGCCAGCCUUCUCUUUCUUGGAGUCAUCACGCGUAUCUUUUUUGAACCCCUGACCGUCGAAAUGCUUUCUCAGCAUACGACAAUCCUUGAGUUUGUGGUUGGCGCCUCCCUUAUGGUAAGGGCACGGCUCCUCCAACAUUUUGUCGAAGAUGCCUCCAUCCGGAGGGCCUCGCGGCUUCUUUCGAUCCAUGGCAGCGACGAGGUUGUCAUCUGAAUCUUCCCGGUGGAACUGUCGCACUUUCUGCUUCUUUUUAUUUUUCUUGAGGCCUCGACUGGAGGUUCCGUCUUCAUCGACGGGCUGCUUGCCUUUUCUUCCUUCUGAGCUGAAGAAGGCGCCGACUGCCUCCUCCCCUGCCGCGUAGUUAGCUACUACGUCCAUCAGCUCGUCGACGGUCUGAGGUCGAUUGCGACCUAAUUCCCGCACCAAGUCUCGACUGGUGGUGCCCGAGACAAACGCCAAGAUGACGUCGUGGUCAGGGAUGUGCGGCAACUCAGUGCGCUGCUUCGAGAAGCGUCGAGCGUACUCCCGAAGAGUUUCUCCUGACUUCUUCUUGCAUUUGCUGAGGUCCCACGAGUUCCCUGGCCGUAUGUAGGUCCCUUUGAAGUUACCCUCGAAGACUCUGACCAGAUCAACCCAGUUGUGGAUCUGAUUGGCAGGGAGUUCCUCGAGCCAUCGACGGGCGGUGUCGGAGAGGAAAAGGGGUAGCUGUCUGAUGAUGGCUCGAUCAUCACCUCGAGCGCCACCUAGCUGACAGGCCAGCCUGAAAUCGGCCAGCCAUAGCUCUGGCUUGGUCUCUCCAUUGUACUUCGCGAUGCUGGUCGGGGGUCGAAAUGGAUUGGGCAGGGGCGUGCUGCGAAUCGCCCUGCUGAACACCCGUGGGCCCGGUGGCUCGGGGGCCACCCGGUCCUCGUCGCUGUCGUAUCUCCCACCGCGAUGCGUGCUAUAACCACGUUCUUCCGCGUCUCCGUGCCGGCGGCGUCUAUUUUCUUUGAUGUCGUGCCGCGCGUCGUGUCGACGUUGAUUGUCGGCAGGGAGGAUGAGAGCGGUCUUUCUACCUCGAGGGGGAGGUUGUUGAUGGACUGACACCUCCUCUUCGUUUAGAGGCUGUUCGUCGCGCUUCUCUGUGGCAGCUCCUCGUCGUCGAGACGCCGAACUUUCGGCUUGUUGAACUGCUGCCACCUGGAGCAAUGUCUGUACUUCAUCUCGAAUGCGUCGGGCCUGGGAAUUCGACGGCUCUGGCAUGUUACGUAGCAGCAUCGUCGCUGCCACUACAUUCUGGCCUGCUCGAGGGAAACGGCUGACAGGUUGCUCCGCCUCUGCGUCACCGACGAUUUGUCGAUGUACCUCUCGAGCGCGCCUGCGGACACUUCCGCCCGGCGGGUAGGGCAGGUCUUGUUCGAGGAUUUGCUCGAGCAGGACGAGGCGCUCGCGGUCUUCGUCGAGCUUCAUUUUGAGCUCCCGCAGCUGCGCGAGCUGCGUGGUUCUGUCUUCCUGAGGUGGGGGGUCGACUUGUCCGUCGUUCCCAGGCGUCCUGGGGUCUUCUCGCGCCGCGGGGGCUCGACCACCCGCAGCAGAAUCCUGUGUCUCGUCAGUAGUUUCUACCGCCCCGUCGAUGUGAUAACAUUCCCUCGUAGGGUCAUAGCUGUCUGUCUCGGAGUCGGAGUCCGGUUCGGCGGCGUAGAAACACCCACGUCCUUCCUCCAGCAAUCGUUGCCUGAGGGAGGUGAUCGAGUAUCGUCCAGGGCCUAGACGACGGAGGCCUCGUACUCGGGAAAGGUCCGGCAGCUCGGACGCCGGCCGCCGUGCUUCAGAGCUAUGUGGGAGGACCAUGGGUCUUUCCACGUACGUCUGGGCGUUUGGGCAUAUCGUCCUGGCGAGCGACGCCGCGGCGUUGUCCAUUCCGAACGGCAGUGCCGCCCUUGGAGCGAACAACCCGUGUGGAAGUAGACUAGCUGCGGUGGGGGAGAGGGCGCGAGACGCGUCCCCUCCCGUCGUCGCGCGGUGCUGAGUCUUCGCACUUGUUGCUCUGUCACACGGUGCUGCCGACUUGUGGCCCACGUCCAGCCUCGCACGAGUUGUUGGUCGUGCUGAAGCAGAGGGGCCGCGGUGGUGCUGUCCGUGCCUCUUCUUAGGCGGGGAGGCGUGGUGAUGAGGGCGUCUCGGGGCUUUCGACCGUGCUGGCGUGACGCGGGCUCCUCCUGGUCCUUUGACUGAGAGCAAGAUCAUGUCGUAGCCAGAGCCCGUAGACAUGAACUCGAGACUCCCAAACCAAAUCACCGUGGAGCGCGGAAACGGUGAGGCAAGAGUAGCCAUCCGGAAAGGAGUGGGAAAUCGAUGAAAAACACGCAGGACCCCUACCUGGCGCGCCAACUGUCGGUGUUUUUCCCCCGGGGGGUCACACCAACGAGUAAAUUUGUAUGCGUGCUCCCUUUUCCGGAUGGUGAUGCAAGAAGACACAGAGAUUUAUCCUGGUUCGGGCAAGAGAAGGCCCUACGUCCAGCGGGGGGAGAGAGUUUGUAUUAUCUUGCACCUAAGUGCUUGUACAGGGGCGAAUACAAGCGUGGUAUGAAGUGUGAAGCUUUACUAUGUAUGAGCGUGCCCUUUUUUCUAUUCCCGAGUCUCUCCUUUUAUAGCUCCAAGGAGAGACUCAGGGUACAUGCGUAGGUGUUAGAGUAGGGGUCGAUAGCCGCAUGGAGCGCUGACCUACUCGAGGUUUCCGUACCGGCAUGCCCUCGAGCCGUCCCGUCUUAAUAGCCUGGUGAUGAUCACGCGUGCCCCUGCAUUCUGCUCUGCGCGCCGUCUUGGAUUGGUUCGGCGGGUGCACGCUUAUAAGGCCCGGCGGCAAAUCCGGCGGGGCGGUUACGGCGUGGUCAUUUGACGCCCCACUCGUCCCCAGGAAGGAGCCUGGUGAGGUCGAGGGUCGGACGCCGCACGAGGUGUCGAUAUCUGGAGCGCUGACCUUGGGUGUCUCGAGGGGGUCCCGAUUAGACGUUCCAUCCUUGUUUCUCGUGUCCUGGCAUGCCCUGGGCCGUUCGGUGGGAAGGCUGCAAAAAGAACGAUGGGACGGAAGCCUCCCGUGGCCCAUGUGUUAGGUGGGGAAGCGUCAGAUGCAUUAAAUGCUCCAACCCGCGUGCGCGCAUCAGGCGGCGGACAGUGUCCUUGCGCUCGACGCCCCUCGGUUCGCUCGAGCCCGCUUCCGUAUUCGACGGCAGUUGCUGCUCGAGCCCUGGCCGACUCGCUCGACGGUAUUUCCGUCUUCGAGGCUGCGGCCGUCGAUGGUCGCCCGUGUGUACGGAUGGUUUCGUUAUACGCAUUGGUGAGGGUACCCCUUGUUGGUACCCUCGACACUCCUAAAUCCCACGAAGUGCGGAAUGACAGAACAAGUUGCAAUCUUACAGAGAAUGUCGCACGUUAUGCAGAAUGUGGUUCCACUGCCGGAUGCAAUGGUGGAGUCGAAAUGGGCAUGGUACUGCGUUUUCCUUCCCGUCUAAGGCCUUGUUAGUUCCGAAAAUAUUUUGGUUUUUGGGACUAUAGCAUUUUCGUUUUUAUUUGACAAACAUUGUUCAAUCAUGAAGUAACUAGGUUUAAAAGAUUCAUCUCGUUAUUUAUAGGUAAACUGUGUAAUUAGUUUUUAUUUUCAUUUAUAUUUAGUGUCCUAUGCAUAUGCCAUAAGAUUCGAUGUAACGGAGAAUCUUGAAAUUUUUUUAGUUUUUGGAGGAAACUAAACAAGGCCUAACUGCAAAUUGCCCAAGUCUUGUUUAGUUCUUGAAGAAAAAAAUUUCGUGACACUUUAGCACUUUCGUUUGUUUGUGUUAAUUAUUGUCUGACUAUAGACUAACUAGACUCAAAAGAUUAAUCUCGUCAAUUUCGACCAAACUAUGCAAUUAGUUUUUAUUUUUGUCUAUAUUUAAUACUCUAUGUAUGCGUUUAAAGAUUCGAUGUAACGGAGAAUCUUAAAAAAUUUUGAGUUUUUGGGUGAAAGUAAACAAGACCCCACUGAGGCAGUGACGGAGUCGAACGGAAAUGCAAGCAAAGAAUGAAACAAAGCUGUCUGCAAUGCAAUCUAGUUCCUAAAAUUUUUCAAAAUUUUUCAAGAUUUUCUGUCAUAUCGAAUCUUUAGACGCAUACAUUAGAACAUUAAAUAAAAAUAAAAAUAAAAUCUAAUUGCAUAAUUUACCUGUAAUUUACGAGACAAAUCUUUUAAACAUAGAUAGUCUAUAAUUAAAUAAAAUUUGUCAAAUACAAACUAAAAUGCUACAGUAACCAAAACCAAAAUUUUCGUGAAGUGAACAGGCCUUGUUUAGUUUCCAGAAAAUUUUGUAAAGUUUUUUAUAUUCCCCAUCAUAUCGAAUUUUUAGACGCAUGCAUGAACUAUUAAAUAUAGACGAAAAUAAAAACUAAUUGCACAGUUUGGUCGGAAUCGAUGAGACGAAUCUUUUGAACUCUAUGAUUAGACAAUAUUUGUCAAAUACAAACGAAAGUGAUACAGCGUCGAUUUCUCAAAAAAAUUUCAGAACUAAACAAGACCCUGAUGGAGAUAGAUAUAUGAUCCAAUUAUCCGUGGAGUAUAGAAGAAAGAUUUAACGCCUUGUUCGUUACAGUACUUUCUGCCAACACCGGGAAUACAAUCCGACUGGGAAAAUCAUAUGCCGAAUAGAGGUCACGGCACGGCAUCUCGCCGCUUACUCCAUCCAAUCGGAAGCAAUGAAAAUGGACUGGUGGCUCCCAUCGAGUCAUCACUGUCACUCUGGCCUGAACGCCUGGUCGUCGUCUUCGGUACACAAGCCAUUACGCAGCGAUGAGAGGAGGGUAGAGCAGUCAAUGGCGGCCGAGGAAGAGAUCCCGGCCCGUUGUUGCCGAUCAACGCAGAUCGAUACUCUACUCCGCAGCUAGCAAUCUAUCUAUCCGUGAAUCAACCGAAACUUAGCUCGAUGUAUGAUCCAAUCCAAUAAAAUACACAUAGCGAUGGGAUUAAUUAACUCGGCAUUUCUCAACUCCUCAGAUGAGGAUCUCAAGUCUCAAUCUCAACAGCAACCGAUGGAGGGAGAUAGAAAUAGAAUAGAACAUGAUCUAAUUUGCAGUUCAUCAUAAAGAAAAUAUAUUUAGAACACCAAGACGAAGGUGAAGAAGGGUAGAUGAUCGACAAGGCGCAGCAGCUGGCCAAAUGAUUGGAGGAUCCAUCAGGUAGUCCGAUCAGUAGUCGUCGUCGCCGCCGAAGUCGUCGUAGCCACCCCCAUAGCCGCCGCCGUACGAGUCCUCCCUCUCCAGGUUCUCCUCCACCCGCUCCGACACGCGCUCCUCGAACUUGUCCUCCAGGUAGCUGGCCCCGCCGGCCAGCGCCAGCCCUCCGAGCACACCCGCCGCCGCGCCCACCGCCAGUCCCGUCCCCAUCCCCAUCUUGUUCUUCUUCUUGCCGUCGGCACCAACGGCGGCGGUUCCGUACCCGGCGGUGGCAGCGACAGGAGGAGCGCCGUAGGCGGCGGCGGUGGCGGCGACGGGAGGAGCGCCGUACGCUGGCUGAGGAGGCGGCGGCGCGGAGCCGUAGGUGGAAGGGUACCCGGCCGGAGGCGCCGCGGUGUAGGGCUGCGCGGCGCCGUAGCCACCGCCGACGCCGCUGCCGUAGGCGCCGCCACCGGAGCGGUAGCCACCUCCGGAGCCGCCGUAGCCGCCACCGGAGCCGUAGUAGCCGCCGGCAGCGGACGAGCCGUAGGGGUCACGAGCACCCGCGCUGUUGGCGUAGCCCGCGGGGGCCGGGUAAGGGUUGGGGUCAUAGUACCUGGACGGCUCCUUGACGGCGACGCGGACGUCGAGGCGGCCGUGGGGGCGGCCCGAGGGGCGCUUGAGGCGGAGGUUGCGCGAGGCCUUGCCCCCGACCCCGGCGUCGUCGAGGACGUCGCGGAGCGGGAGGCGCGCGGAUCCGACGAGCGGCUUGACGCCCUCGGCGGCGUUGGCGUGGACGACGUCGAUGUAGAGGACGGCGUCGUCGAGGCGGGAGGUAGGCGGGAGCGGGACCAGGAGCUUCUCGUCCCACGCGGGGUUCUCGCCGUUGUCGAGGUCGACGCGGGUGGAGGUCUUGGCGCCGGAGUCGAUCCACACCACGGCGUACGGCUUCAGGUCGCCGUUGCGCCAGUUGACGUUCUUGAGGUCCCGGGCAGAGCCCACGGUCACCUCCACCUCGUAGCGGGAGCCCAUCGCUGGUGGCUGGUGGCUGGUACCCGUUCCUCUCUCAGGGGAAGGAAGGAUGGAAGGGGAAAGCUUUCGCUUUUGCGAUGAGUGACGACUGCACGAACUGGAGCAACACGAGGAAGAAGGCGACCUGUAUAAAUAGUGCGAAUGUUGGGUGGCACUGGCACGCGCGCGGGCCGCGGGGGCGGGGCCUCGGGUCGGAGAAGACGACGCCGGGCUCUAUCCGCCUGGCGGUGGCGGCUCGGCUGGGGAGUGGUGCCAGUGGGGACGGUGGAAUCGACCCUCUCCACGCGGCUUCCUGGCCUGGCAGCUGUGGUGCGCGUGUGCCCCUCCACUUGCCACGGGAAGACGGAACGUCUGACCCGACUGACCGCGGCGAUGCGAGGUCCUGCACCAGCAGUGGACCAACGCGGGCCCACCUCAACCACUCCCGCUACAGGACCACUUGUUUUCCCGGUGUUCCACCCCAGCCCAAACACGGGACGGGACGGGACGGCUACCACGGCCGUUUCCUUGCUCGUCGUAUUCCUCUCCAAGCAUGCCUCGCGGUCUUUCCUGGUCUGCGCUGCUGUUUCAAUUUGGGUGUCUUGUUUGCUUUGCUACGAAGGAAUGACGACAUUGGUCCACCGUGCACUGUCGUCUUUCCUUCCACGGUAGUAUAACAUUGACCAUUAUUAUUACUCCUAGCUGGUCUAUAUACGUAUAUGGACUGUAUCACCAGUAUUUUAGCUACGCUGUGCUGACCAGACCACGCACAACACAACUUGCUGCCCGGUUUUGAAUCCUAAUUUGAAUUUAUGCACCAGAAGUUGACACUUUAUCGUGACUAGCAAAGAUGUCCGUGUGUUGCAACGGGAGAAAAACAUUAAAUGGACAUAGAAAGUGAUAACAUAGUGUUACAUAUCUAUUUAUAUUUAUCUUUUUUAUAACAUUUAAAAUCUAUAAUUUAUUUGAUUGAUAUCCAUGACAUCUAUAAAUUUUAAAGUUCAUAAUUUAUUUUAUUGAUAACCAUGACAUCUAUGGUAUUAGGUAGUUAAUAUUUAUAAUAAUAUGUAGCUUGGAGACAUAUUAAUUUAAUAAUAAAAAUAGAAAUUAGGAAAAUCUUAUCUUACUCUAAUAUUACCUCUUAAUAUACCUUAGUAUUAUAUUAAAACAUGAGAAGUUUGUUGCUAGCUUUAUUUUUUAUUUAGAUUGGGAUUCUUAUGAAAUAUGAUAUAUCAAUUAAAUGUAUGUAGAUUAUGAAUACAUGGACUUAUGAAGUGUUCAUAUGACAUAACAACACAUCAUGCAAAGGUAAUGGAAACAUCCUUUUUUAUAUUUUUUUUACAUACUUAAAUUGAUUGUAAACUAUUUAGUAAGCAUAAAUCUAGCUAACUUAGUAAAUUAGUGAAAUAUGCAGAAAUGGUGUCAAAACUUUUACCACAAAUCAAGCAUCACAUUAAAUAGGCUAACAUAAAAUUUUUAUAAUAAUUGGAGCAAGAUAACUACAAUUUUAAAUUUACACUUAAAGGCGUAGGCAAGCAUCUCCAGCAAAAAAAAUAUAAUAAAAUUUGUGAUAUUUUUUGUUUACUGCAUGGAUCUACAUAUGUGGAGCUGAAUGAAAUUUGCUUUGUAAUUUUUAGAUUUUUCUAUGAAUUACUACGUAUUUAUCAAUUUUCAACCGAACUAAAGAAUAAAAGAAAAGUAACAUAAUAGGACAAAUAUUUUGCACCUAGACCUCUGUACUUUCUUUAUUCUUAACAUGCUCUGAUGUGUAUUAUCAAGAAUAGGAGAUUUUGUAUUGGGAACUCUAGAAAAGAUUCUAUUCUUUUUUUUCUCUCCACAACCUAUUGCGGCGGAUGGCAUCGAGCGGCGACGGAAGGCAGACAGGGCAAGCGGACAGAAAAGAAAUUUGCCCUUUAUAGAUAAGUAUAGAUAUAAGAAGUUUCUCGUGACUUGCUAAAACUUGGACAUAAACAUUGGUGUGCCAAUUUUUUUUAUAAUGAAUUAAUUGAUGACUAAAAUUUGUGAUUUGCCAUAAUUUUAGUUCGCCAAAAAUUAGUUUUUUUUGGACAAGGGCAAAAAUUAGUCAUUCAACUCCUAAAACAGUCGAAUAGUACGUAUAUCAAACUGCAGCAUUACACCAAAUAAGUUUAAACAUGCAUCAAGGAGAAUUGUACGUGUGCCAGAUACAGAGAUACUCCUUUUCGCAAAAAAUAAAAAAAAUACAGAGAUACUCCUACUACAGGUAGGGUACAUCAUCAUGCCAUCGGACGUUGUUGCAGCCUUUACAGAAUUAAGAAACUAUGGCCUCGUUUAGUUCCGAAAACUGAAAAGUUUUCGGAACUGUAGCACUUUCGUUUGUUUGCGGUAAAUAUUGUCCAAUCAUAGACUAACUAGGAUCAAAAGAUUCGUCUCGUGAUUUACAGUCAAACUGUAUGAUUAAUUUUUAUUUUCGUCUAUAUUUAAUGCUUCAUGCAUGUGCCGCAAGAUUCGAUGUGACAGAGAAUCUUGAAAACUUUUUGGAUUUCGGGGUGAACUAAACAAGGCCUAUGUAGUAUAUGUGGACCGUGGCAAGCUGGCACACGUGGCCCACCUCUCUCUCCUGGGCUCGCGUCCAUAAAUCAGCUUUUGUAACCACGAUUGAAGCGGACGACAUCGGACGGCGACGGAAGGCCGACAGGGAGAGCGGACAGAAAAAAGGCAGACUGAAAUUUUACCUCUUUAUAUAUAGGUAUAGAUAAAGAACGUAUAAUAAUUUAAAAUAAGGACCAAAGAUGAAAUGACACAGAGGUGGAGAAAUAAGGACCAAAGAUGAAAUGACACAGAGGUGGAGCAAAACGGGCACUUGUGAAAAUAGGUUCCAUGUAGCACUCAAAACAUACUCAGACCAGAUUCAUAAAAGAGUAAAAUAUACUAUGACUUUUAAACCUUUCAUAGAUUCACAUUUAAGUCCUCUAGCUAUAAAAUUAAACAACCAUUUGAAUUCUCAAUCUAACGCCACGAUCAAGUAUAUAAUUAAGUUCCAACAGGCCCGCCAUGACAUCCGUAGAUGUCUAUGUCGCUGUGCCAAUAUGGAUGAGGUGAGAUAAACCUUGUAAACAACCAUAAUGAGAGUUGUUUGGCUUUUGAAAAGUUCAAAAUCUAAUAGUCUAAAUGUGGCCAAAAGUUCAAACAAACAAGGCUUAAUGAGAAAUAUAAGAAGGCACCCAAAUAUUGUUACUUGUUUUUUCAUUCCAUUAUCUUAUAAAUCUAAUUCUAUCAGGUUUUAUUAGGAUUUUUCAUUGCCUUGCCCAGUUCCAAUAUAUAAAGAAUGGAAGUAAGAGCAUGUUGAGUUAACUCUUAUAUGUAAGGGUUUUAUUUUUAAGAACUGCAUCAACAUGCAGGGUAUCAUUCUAUCUAUGUCUAUAUCUAUAUCAAAAGAUAAUUUAGCUAGAAGAAUAUCUAUAUCUAUAUCAAAAGAUAAUUUAGCUAGAAGAAACUUAAAUGGUAAUAAGUUGUGUUUUUUUAACUUUACGAGUGAAAUAAUUCAACAUUUUUAGUACUAUUUGAUCCAAAAUGGAUAUGCUAAUAGAACACUAACUAUUAGCUAGGAGGUCAUUUAUUAUUAGUUCCACUAGCAGGUUUGUGGCUCCAACUAUUAGCAACAUAUUAGUAGGUGGAUCAAAUAGGUCUCUGAUAAUGAAUAUUAGCUAUUAGCUAGCUAACCAUUAGUACUAAUAGAUCUAAAUAUAUUUUACCUUUAAUAUAUCCAGUACACUCCCUAAUUUUUUGGUGGAUUGUUAGGAACUCCCUCCGUCUCAAAAUAUAUGAUAUUCUCACUUUCUAAGAAGUUAAACAUUUUUAAUAUAUAUAAAAAUAUAUUAAUAUUUGUAAUACAUAAUUAGUAUCAUUAGAUAAAUUACAGAAUAUAUUUUCAUAAUAAAUUUAUUUAGUAAUAUAAAUAUUACUAAUAUUUUUUAUAAAACUAAUCAAACUUGAUAAAGUUUAACUGGCAUGUAUCCCAUAAUAUCAUUCAUUUUAAGAUGGAAGGAGUACACUUUAGUCCAUUUCAAUUCACAUGGAUUAGGAACAUUUGAGUUCAUCAUAUAUGGAUUGGAAUGAAUUGGCCAAGCAACCUUAAGGGCAGUUUAGAAGGCUGAGAGGUCUACUCGGCUACCUGAUCUCUAGUUCAACGCCGCAUAGUGGGUACGUGAGGAUGCCAGCGGAUGAUAUUUUAUUUAUUUAUUUAUUUAUUAUAAAAUACUAGUAAAUAUGUCCAUACGUUGCAACGGAAGACAAAAGAACUAUCGACGGUUUAACUUGUUCAUUUCAGCAUGCUGCACAGCUACAAUGAUACUAUUCAUGUGUUGAUAGAGUUAGAUAUCAGGUUUCAUGACUUCUUUUGAGGAUCCACAAAAGUAUCUAAUUUUAUAAUCUUAUUAAAGACGGUAAGAGGUUAGUCGUCAUCCUGUCAAUAAUUGGUCUCUCUAUUGAUGAGUACAAAGUAUGAUCGAGAUCUCUCUUGAUUUCCAUAUGUUAACCCAUGUUGAGAUUUGUUAUAUGAACAACUUAGAGAUUUGCACCGGUAUAUGCUUGGAGAAACAUUUAAUUGGAUUAGAUUUGAUGACAAAUAAAUCAAAAUUUCAGUUUAUAUUUUGAUUAGUUAGGCUAUCAACUGAUUUAUGUAAUUCUAAUAUUUUUUUAUAAAUCAAAUUACAUCGACAACUUGAGAUUGAAUAUAUUAAUAUUUAUUUAUAAGGCAAUGGUCCAUGUUUUGAAGACCCGUAAUAUGGUGUUUAUUAUUAAUUUGUUUAUCUUUAUAACAAAAAAUAGAGUUAUAUUUUAAAAAAAAAUCAUGAAAAGAGUAGCACCAAGACGCCACACUAUGGAACAUUUCUGAACAAAUUGGUCAAAAAUAUAACAUAAGAUAAAAAUAAGACGGAAACAAGAGAAAAAACGGAGAACAAGACAGUUUAUUUGGCCUUUUUGCCUAGCUGAAUGCACGCGUAGGCUUAACUUUGGCUGAGUGGGCUUGGGUUACUCAACUACACUGGUUUGCGAUGCCCCGCAAGCCUACUAGCUAUUAGCUCGAUCUGAACCGUUUAUGCUAAUAUGAGAUCUGAGACGCUCCUAUCGGAAACAAAACCAAUUAGUCGCCGCUAUCAAAAAAAGACCUUAGCUUCACAUUCUCUUCUUCGCUUUCUCGCGUUGCGUAGCUGAGAGAGGAGAGCUGACAAGCAGGUAGUGCCUACGUUGGAACGCGCGGAGACAAGCUGAGAGGUGCCAUCAACGAGAGACUAGCGCCGCCACCAAACCUCUCAUCGGAGCUUGCAGAGCAGUUAUGGCCGCGUGUGGCUUCGUCAAGCCGCCCUACAGUGGGGCGUCCCGGUCGUGAGCCACGAGCCCAGGCGACCAACCAGCUGCAUGGCCUGUGCCCCUAUUGGCCGCACGCGCGGCUCCAUUAAGACCCUAUUUAGUUCCCCACCCAAAAAAUUUUCAUCCAUCCAUCGAAUCUUUGAACACAUGCAUAAAACAUUAAAUUUAGAUAAAAAAAUAAACUAAUUAUACAGUUUAGAGCCUAGUUACUCCAUGAUUAGCCUUAAGUGCUACAGUAGCCCACAUAUGCUAAUGACAGAUUAAUUAUGUUUAAUAAAUUUGUCUUGCAGUUUACUGACGAGCUAUGUAAUUUCUUUUAUUAGUUUCUAAAACCCCUUCCGACAUCCUUCCGACACAUCCAAUGUGACACUCAAAAAAUUUUCAUCCUCAAUCUAAACAGCCCCUAAGCCAUCCUAUUGUGGUGCUUAGGCGUUUCAACGGCUGUGAGCGGCAAGCCUAGGCACCUAGUGUGGCUGCGUGGCCCACGUCCUGAUGCCCGCACGCUGCCACACUGUGGUGUAUCGCCGCUGUCGUGUUGGCAGUUUGGGAACACGCUAGAGGCCUGUCGCGCAUGCCUGACGUGCUUGCCCCCGAAGCGACCUUGCGCGCUCCCAUGAACAACUGCAUCAUCGAGAUUGUUAAUGCCUAUUGUUUUAAUUUUAUAAGUUAUCUUUCUAAAGUUAGUCUGAUUUGGAUUUGGGCCUUGUUUAGUUCACUCUGAAAACCAAAAAGUUUUCAAGAUUUCCCGUCACAUCGAAUCUUGUGACACAUGUAUAAAACAUUAAAUAUAAACAAAAACAAAAAUUAAUUACACAAUUUAACUGUAAAUCACGAGACGAAUCUUUUGAUUCUAGUUAGUCUAUGAUUGAAUAAUAUUUGUCACAAACAAACGAAGGUGCUACAGUACCGAAAACUUUCCACUUUUCGGAAACCUAUUUAAUUUCGAAUUGGGAUGAUCAAGACAAAAUUUCUGGCUGAAUUUUUGCCUUGUUAGUAUUCGGUAGAGAUUUAUCUAGUAAAUCAAAAAGUUACAAAACUAUACUAGUAGCGCCAAUUGAAGUAGUGGGAAUUACAUAUCGGUGGUUGAACUAACAAAAUAUCUGUCACCAUUUUUUUCUACCAGCUUAUCUUAACAAAUCAUAACUUUUAUACAUGAGCUCGGAUGAAGAGAAAAAUAUAAACCUUUAUAGUUUAUGACCUUUUCAUUGAGAUCGUAUGAAAUCUAAAAGUUUCAUAUAAUGUUCAUAUCUAUAUUUGUAGUUCUAAACAUUAUAUCCAUUAUUCUGGUACCAAGAUGGCUUCAAAUAAAAGUAUUGUGAGCUAAAAGGUGGUAGAUUUCAUCAUCAAAUACAAUUCUUGUAGAAAUUUUAUCUCCAUAUAUGUGACUAUAUGAAAAAUUUAUACUUGUUUUUGAAGAUGUGCUACGUAAUGUUGAGAAUAAAUUGUUAGGAUUUAUCCAUUAGCUAGUCUAGCAUAUUUUAGAAAAAAAAAUCAUAACUCCUUCAUACAACCUCAUAUAGGGAUAACAUUUAUACAAAUAUUGUACUCCACAAAUGCAUAAAAGAUCUACAAUUUUGUAGUAUACAAUUUUUUCGUUUGAAACCAUAUUGAUAGCUAAUCAAUUUAAUGUUCAGAUCUACAAAUACGCAUAUGAACAUUGUAUCAAUUUUUGGGUAUCAAAACGAUCUUAAAUGAAAAAAAUCCGUGAACUAUAAUGUUGUAAAUCUCUCUCUUAUAUUUUUUCUCUAUAACUCUCAUAUAAACUUUAUCUCCAUCGGAAUUCAUACAUAAAAGUUAUGAUUAAAUUCCGCCAAUUGAACGGUGGUAACCAAUAUUCCGCCGAUAUACAACAGGCAACAGUAAUAUAAUUUUGCAAAUUUUCUAUUUAGAUUAGACAAAUAUUGUAGGAAAAAACGAAUUUUGGUUACCACAGGGGUUGGGCUGGGCCAGCACUGCGCCGGAUCUCGGGGCCAAGCUUUACGACGCAUACGGCCGAGGAAAAUAGCGGCCCAUUAAAGCCCACCUCCUCCUCUCUCGCAAACCCUAAACCCCUCCUCUCCCUUUAUCUUUGCUUGCCUCCUCUGCCCACAAGCCACACCCGCCGCCGCCUCUUCUUCUUCCCGCCGCCGCCGCCGCCGCCGAAGAGUCCAAGACCUGCGACCUGUUGAGCUGAGGUGAGUUCUAGUCUCCUUCCUCCCCUUCCUCUCACCUUAUCUGAUUGGUAGAUAUUCAGGUCCUCUGUUCCUUUCUCUUGAUUAAUUUACUGUCUUGUGUACGUUUCGUCCUGGAUUUGAUCUCGAACUGUAAGCACAUAUCGAAGGCUUUCUAGGCGUCAAUCGGCCUAUUGAGCUCAAAGCUUGUGCCAUAUGAAUCGUCCUCGUCAUCUCCACUUCAGAUUAACAUGAUCUCCUGCCACCUUACGUGGAGGCUAGGAUUCUCUUGGUCAUGUCAUAUUUAGGAUGACGCUGCACAUUUUGGUUCCCUUGAACAGAAAAUCUUUUAUUUGAUUUCUCCCGUAUGCUUUUAUUUAACCUGCUUCCGACGAUGACACUCCCCUUUGCCUUGACGCUUUGACAGAACAGAGCAAAGCCGAGAAGGCAUCCGCCAUGGCCAAGAACCCCAAGGUGUUCUUCGACAUCCUAAUCGGCAAGUCCCAGGCCGGCCGCGUCGUGAUGGAGCUCUUCGCCGACAAGGUGCCCAAGACGGCCGAGAACUUCCGCGCCCUGUGCACGGGCGAGAAGGGCCUGGGCUCCUCGGGGAAGCCGCUGCACUACAAGGGCUCCGCCUUCCACCGCAUCAUCCCCAGCUUCAUGUGCCAGGGCGGCGACUUCACCCGCGGCAACGGCACCGGCGGGGAGUCCAUCUACGGCGCCAAGUUCGCCGACGAGAACUUCAAGCUGCACCACACGGGGCCCGGCGUGCUCUCCAUGGCCAACGCGGGGCCCAACACCAACGGCUCCCAGUUCUUCAUCUGCACCGCGCAGACGUCCUGGCUUGACGGCAAGCACGUCGUCUUCGGCAAGGUGGUCGAUGGCUACGCCGUCGUGCAGAAGAUGGAGGCCGUCGGCUCUGGGUCCGGUGCCACGUCCCAGACCGUAGUCAUCGAGGACUGCGGCCAACUUGCUCACGACUGAGUGCCUUGCUCAGCUGUCUCGAGUUUCAUUGUAGCCAAAUGAACGGAUAAAUAAAUUUGAUUAGAUUAGUUUUGAUUUAUGAGAUGCUCAGACUUGUAUUGUAUACCACACAUCGGCGUCCGUCGGAAACAUAGACCUUGCUGAGCUGUCUCGAGUUGUUCCGGCGCUAAGGGCAGUUUUAGUGGGGCUUUUAUCAGAAUAUCAUGUACAUUUAUUAUAACGUUAUGUCAGUAAAACUGUAUUUUUUCAUGAAAUGAAGAGGAGAGAGAAGUAGUUUCACCACGGUGAAACUCCGCGGGCGUUGUUUUCCACGCGGUGAAGCGCGGGCGUUGUUUCCCACGUGGUGAAACGGAAUGAAAUCCCUACUGAAGGUUAAAUUGUUUCACCAUCUUGCAUGUAAUCCAAUCAUUUUGCAGUAAUUAAAUGCUUUGCCUAGCCUAGAAAACAUCGAGGUGAAACUCAUAUAUUGUGGAGGUUGUUUCAUUGUUCGUUUCAUUGAUGCCAUGUCAGCAGAUUUGUUUUGGAAACAAUAUAUUGAAAUGGGCCACUGAGACUGGUCUAAGGAUGCACUGCACUAGUUCCUGCAACAUCUAAUUUUUUUGCUACAAACAACAAGAGAGAUACUCCCUCCGUCCCAAAAAGAGUGUCGUUUUAGGUUUUUGUGCCACAAGUUUGACUCGAUUUGUAGAAAAUACAUGCAAUAUUUAUAUCUCGAAAUAAAUUUGUUAAAAAACUAGACUUAAAGAUCUUUCCAAUGAUACUAAUUAUGUAAUAUAAAUAUUAAUAUUUUUUACUAUAUAUUUAGUUAAAGUUAUUUCUCGGGAAGCGAAAACGACACUUAUUUUAGAACGGAGGGAGUACAUGCUAAUAUUAAUUAGAGAAGCAUCAAAAUACAAGACUCUUAUAAAAACAUGAUAUGAUCAAAGAGUGGCCAUGUCUGCACCCUGCACAAGGCCAAGGCCUACAAAAGAACUGUGUUUGACAUAUGCAGAAAACAGAGAAUACAAGUGAUUCUGAAGAUAUGAAAAAAUUGAAGCCCGUGCUCUCUAGCAGAAUUCAAGCCCUCUCUCCAAGCAAGACUUGACAAUCACCUCACCAAUCUUUUGUGCUAUUUCCUGAAAGCUACAAGAAACACUACUGCUAAACUACGAGAAACAUGAAGCAACUCCACGCCGAAGCCACUUUCUAGUGACCAUACUUCUUGAUGAACACCGACUCACUGUGUCUGCAAUGUCAAAUUACAAAUUAGAAGGUGAGACAGUGUGGAUGGGCAUGAGUAAUAGAUAACAAUCACAUUGAUCAAGAGGUAGAACCUCCAUAUCUACUGACCAAGAUGGGCACACUCUACAGGUCUUUAGCCAAUGUCUCCUGCUGCGCCUCCUCCUCACCCCGCACAUCAGCCAGCUCCCCAGAGGGCGUAGCCGCGGACCUCCUCUCUGUGCUCGGCGGCCCGUGCACCGUGGCGCGGGUGCCGACGGCGGAGGCCUCGCGGCUCCACGCCUCGCGUCCAUCUGGAGGUAGGGCGGCAGCCAUGGUGACUAGUGACACCAACAAAAACAAGAAGAUUCAGAUUAGAAGAACAAGAACAAGGGAGAAGAAGAACAGUAGAUGAGUGAUUCUCACCGACAGCAGAUGAGUGAUUCUCACUGGAGCAAUUGACUGACGCUUCCCUAGCGCCGCCGCUGCGGAUGUGGCGCUCGAGUAGGAGUCCGCUCAUGUGGCGGAUGCGGCGCCUAUGUGCUUCCCACGCACAAGCCUUGCAGGCUAACGCAGGUGCCUGCUUUAGUUUCUUGGGCUUCGCAGGCUUGACUGUUUAGGCCCGCAUCACUUGAAGUAGGAGGCUGCAAUGUCUACAAGGCCUAUUUUUGUAGGCGGGCCGAGCAGGCUGGUAGGUCGGCCCACACCUGCUUGCAUCUUUAUCCGACGCUCCUCUUGUUGGGCUCUAUGGAUGCAAUCGACUCAUCUUCCUCCAUCUUCUCCAUCUUGCGGUAGUGCAACUAGUCUUGGGGUCGAUCUGCUGCACUAUAUCCGCUACUUCCUCAGUGGCUGUUUUUCUCGGUCUUGCGCUUCUUUCGCUACUUCUUCCUAAGUGGCUGUUUUUCUCUGUCUUGCGCUUCUUUCACUCACCGUCGGUGAAAUCCUCCCUAAUACCCCUUGCUUUGAUUCUAGGGUUUGGUCUUGCCCUUUUUUGGUUUCGAUUUCUAUCUGUGGAAUCAUAGGUUAGGUCCAUGAUGUUGGUAUAGUUGCUAUGAAUGGUGAUUUCGAGCACCUACACAUGUAUGCUCCAUUAUUGGUACUUUGAUAUGGUCGAUCAUGAAUCUAUCCAUUGCACUGGAGGCAUUUUUGUGUUAUGCAACUGUGCUAUUUUUGUUUGUAGCUACUCUGUAAAUUUUUUAGUGCUUUGAUAUGGUCGAUGAUGAAUCCGUUCAAUGCACCAGAGGCAUUUUUGUUAUGCAGCCAUGUUGCUCUGAAUGAUUGCACUUUCAUGUCGAGGUAAGUCAGGGUCUACUAGAACCGAGUUGUAUCUUUGAAUAUUGAAUGCAUGUAGAUGAAUCCAAAUGCUGAGCGUGAGAUGAUGGCCAGAAAAGUAGUUGCCAUUGUUGUGGUUAUGUUUUCUUGUUUGGUGACUAGACUUAGAAGAAUUAGGGCCCAACUUUUGCCUGUAUCUUAUGGUCCUAGGUCACGCGAGCAGCAUAGGCUAAGAACCCUCCAAAUGAUAUUUAACAACACUAAUGUUAAGUGUCUAGCUAUAUUACGUAUGACCAGAGCUCCCUUUUUUGCUCGAUGCAACCUUUUUAGAGGUUGAGGCCAUGUUCGAGAAACUAGUGGUUGUUCUACUGAGGAGCAGGUUGCAAUGUUCCUCCAUGUGGUUGGUCACAACUAGAGGUUUAGGGCAAUUCACCAGUCAUUUAGGAGGUCCAUUGAGAUAGUAGAUUUGUCAACCUUUCCCAUCUUGAACCCUUUAGAGAAGAAAAUCUCUCAAUCUCUCAUACCAUGCUGUAGGUGCUUGCUUCAAACCAUACAAUGCCUUCUUAAGCUUGUAAACAUGGUUGGGUUUCUUGUCAUCUUCAAAACCGAGAGGUUGCUCAACAUAAACCAACUCAUUGAUGUAUCCAUUUAGAAAUACACUCUUCAUAUCCAUUUGAUAGAGCUUGAUGUCGUGGGCACAAGCAUAGGCUAAUAAGAUUCUAAUUGCCUCUAAUCUUGCAACCGGUGCACAUGUUUCUCCAAAAUCAAGAUCUUCAACUUGAGUGUAGCCUUGUGCUACUAAUCUUGCUUUGUUUCUCAUAGCUACACCAUCUACAUCUUGCUUGUUUCUAAAGAUCCACUUGGUACCAAUCACAUUAUAAUUCUUUGGCCUCUAAACAAGCUCCCAAACUUGAUUUAUAGUGAAGUUGUUCAACUCUUCAUGCAUGGCAUUUACCCAAUCGGAAUCCUUCAAUGCAUCUUCUAUUCUCUUUGGUUCUUCAAAUGAGACAAAUGAAUAGUGCUCACAAAAGGUUGCUAGCCUUGAUCUUGUUUGUACACCACUUUGAAUACCACCAAUGACUUGAUCCAAUGGAUGAUCCCUUGCUAUACUUGUGGAUUGGAGUAUUGGAAGUUGAUUACUUCCACUAGCUUGAUUUUGAUUUGAUCAUCACCAUGAGAACCACUGGUAUUUGCUUCAUUUGCAUCAAUUUGCACUUCUUGAUUGAUCAUGUGAAUAUCACCAUUGUCAUCAACUUGCCUUGGCCUUAUGUCACCAACAUCCAUGUUCUUCAUUACAUUUACCAAUUGAUCUCCUCUCAUCAAGAUUUUGACCUUCAUUUUGAGAUCCCUCGGUUUUAUCAAACUCAACAUCAUGGACUUCUUCCAAUGUGCCACUUGCCAAGUUCCAAACUCUAUAUGCCUUGCUUAUGGUGGAAUAACCAAGUAAGAACCCUUCAUCACAUUUCUUGUCAAAUUUGCUCAAUCUUGUGCCUUUCUUGAGAAUAUAGCAUUUGCUACCAAACACUCUAAAGUAUGCAAUGUUGGGCUUUCUUCCAUUCAAUAGCUCAUAUGGUGUCUUCCCAAGCUUCCCAUGGCAAUAGAGACGGUUGCUACAAUAGCAAGCCAUGUUGAUAGCUUCAGUCCAAAAUGAAUGGCUAACAUUGUAUUCACUAAACAUUGACCUAGCCAUAUCAAUUAAGGUUCUAUUCUUUCUUUCAACCACACCAUUAGAUUGAGGAGUGUAUGUUGCAGAGAAUUGAUGUCCAAUGCCAAGAUCAUCACACAAUUCCUCGAUUUUUGUGUUCUUAAACUCACUACGAUUAUCACAUCUAAUCUUCUUGAUAGUAGUUUCAAACUGAUUUUGCACCCUCUUGACAAAAGACUUGAAUAGAUCACAAACAUCACUCUUGUCAUUGAGAAAGAACACCCAAGUGUAUCUAGUGUAGUCAUAAACUAUCACAAAGCCAUACUUGUUGCCACCAAUGCUAGUGUAUGUUGUUGGCCCAAAUAAAUCCAUGUGCAAUAAGUCAAAUGCCUUUGAUGUGCUCAUUUCACUUUUUUUAGGAUGUGCAUUUCUAACUUGCUUUAUGGCUUGACAAGCACUACAUGGUUUAUCCUUCUCAAAAGUGACAUCCUUCAAACCUCUAACUAAGUCAUGCCUUAAUAGUUUGUUCAAUUGCUUCAUUCCAACAUGACCAAACCUUAUAUGCCACAACCAUCCCAGACUAGAUUUGCUAAGCAAGCAUGAUGUUAAUUGGUUUUCAUUGUCACUGAAAUCAAUUAGGUAUAAGCUACCUGUUGGUGCAAAAAUUGGUUUCUCACACCAACAAUCUCGGGGGCUCUCAAAGGGAGUGCAGGAGUUGAAGUCCUAGACCUCCUGAGCCAUAAACGCACAAGCUUGGUGAAUUGAUUCUGGGGCGUGCCAGUCAAUUUGACCUAAAAAUUGACAAGGUAAAAGGAUAAAUGUCAAAUUAUGGAACCUGCUAGUUAUUGCCAGAUAGUUCCGAGAUGUAUGGCCUCGAGAAGUCAUUGAAUGAAGGAAAUUAACUAAAAAGUCAACUCCUUGAAACGAUGCAAAAAGAUAAGCAUUAUCAAACGUAUUGAUCAAUUGCAUCUUACGGGUAUAAAUUACCGGAUCAGCUAUUUACCCGAUAUGCUAUAUAUAAAGAUAAAAGAUAGCUGACGUGCAUUAUCCUUUCAUCAAUCAAAUAAACAAUAACUUACUAAAACUGGUCUAACAACCUGUGGUUUCCGUAGAUUACUUUCAUAAUUUGUAUUAAAUCUAUAUUCACCUGGUCUAAUGGCCAGCGGGCUUCAAUAAAUUCAACACAGAUUACUAGUUCAUUUAAUGCAUAAAUGGGUUCAUGCAUGCGCGCUAUUCUUUUAAGCUUAACUAGAUCGACUAUUUUAGCCGAUACAGGGUCCAUGAGGCAUGAACAAGUGAAAGGAUCAAGAUGGCCAAGAGGGGGGGGGGGUGAAUUGGGCUUCUCUAAAAAUUUAAGCAACCUAUAAGCUCCAAUUCAACCCCUUGUGCCUAGUGUGUUCUAGAGAGCUAUCGAAUAAAAGUUUUGCACCCUAAUUCCAAUCCUAUUCUAGCAUAGCAAUUCUAGGAAUGUAAAUGCUCAAAGUAAAUGCUAGAAAGUAAAGGAGAAGAGCAAGAAGAACGCGACGAUGUUUUGUCGAGGUAUCAGAGAGUAGCCACUCCCCACUAGUCCUCAUUGGAGAACCCGCGCAAGGGUCUUGCUCCCCCUUGGUCCGCGCAAGGACCAAGUGCUCUCUACGGGCUGACUAUUCGACACUCCGUCACGGUGAAUCGCCCAAAACCGCUCAGAAGCUUCACACAAGCCACCCACAAGAACUCCGGGCGGUCUUCAUGCCUCCAAUCACCACCAAACCGUCUAGGUGAUGGCGAUCACCAAGAGUAACAAGCCAAUAACUCUCACUUGACCCAAACAAGGCACUAGAGAGUGGUGGAUGCACAGUUGAACUCUUGGAACUCAACUAGAGAAGGAUUCACUCAAGAAAUCACUCAAUUUUCAAUCCUCUCUAGGCUCUUGCUUCUCUCUUGCACCACAAGGUGAUUCUCAACUGAUCAAAUGGGCAAGAGACCUCCCAUGGACGAGGUGGAGGAGUAUAAAUACUCCCCAUCAAGUCCAAGGGCCGGCCCACCAUUUUCCACUAAAAAUGGGAGCACCAGACGCACUCAAUGUUGCACCGGACGCACUGCACAGAGCAUCCGGUGCCCCAUUAAUGGCUAACUGUACCUUCUCUAACAGUACACCGGACGCACCCUCAGUGAGUCCGGUGCCAUCGUCCGGUGUGAGGGAAACUUUUAACCCUCCCUGGGUAUGGGACCGGACGCUCCUCGGUGAGUCCGGUGCCCUGGUCAACUGUAGACCUCUAUGGGUAUAGGACCGGAUCCACCCCAGCGAGUCCAGUGCGUGCGUCCAGUGCCUAACCCUAGGCACCCAGCCAUGCUGACCAAAGUCAGCACCACCGGACGGUGCAGCGUCUGAUGCCUCUUUAGGCAUCCAAACUUCGUCGAAACUCGAUCUUUCCAAAACGAAGUUUGUUCCUCUCAAUCUAAGGACUUUCUUAGAGCUGCCUAGUGCUAGGUUUACCAAGUGUGCACCACACCUAAACCUAAAGCCUUGCCUAGGUCAAGCUACCCGCUCAAUGCCCCAUUAAUAGUACGGUCAAAGGAAACACAAAGUCCUAAACUACUCUAAGUGCCCUUCUUCACCAUAUGGCACUUAGACCUAGUCUAGUCCCAACGAUGUCCAACCAUCCUUUGAAAACCAAAACGAUUUCCACCAUUAAGUCGGUAUGAACGAUCUAGUCCAUCGAUCACCAUUACCAUGACCUAACUUAAAUGACUUUGCCUCUGCAAAACACAUGUUAGUCAUAGUAAUCAACAUUGUCAUUAAUCACCAAAACUCAUUAGGGGCCUAGAUGCUUUCAAUCUCCCCCUUUUUGGUGAUUGAUGACAAUAUUCUCGAGUAUAAAAGAAGUGAGGUUUUCAAAUGACUUGGUUUCUAUAAGUAUGAGACAAUAAGAUCAAAAAGAGAUUAGGCAUGCUUAUAUCAACCAAGUCUGACAUCCUGCAUCCAAAAAUGUGAGAUGUGUACAACAGGAUAUAACAACAUAUAGCUCAUAAAAUAUCGGAGUAAAAACGCGGAAGCAAAGCAAUAUGAGCCAAACACAUGACAUAAAUAUAUCAUCAUGAAGCAUAAGUCAUGUCACACAACCAUAGCAUAGUGUAUCUCAUAAGCAAAGUAUCUCACACAAGUGCAUGAAAAGUAAACAUGAUGCAUGAUGUAGCACACAAAAGAAUCGAAGCCCACUCACUAGCUCCCCCUAACUCUAGCAUACUCUACUCUCUCCCCAUUGGCAUCAAGCGCCAAAAACCUAAGAAGCUGAAGGUGGAGGUGGAGCGGAGGAGUCCCGUGGCACUGCCUCAAACUAAGCUGCAUCAUCAUUAGUGCCAUCUGCCGUAGACUCUGAGGAAGCUGACCGACUCUCUGAUGGUGUACGUGCUGGUGUAGCAGUCUGGGUCGGCUCUGUGGGCUCUGUAGCUAUCUGUGUCGCUGCCAGAGUCUCAAGACCUACUAAAGAGGCUGGUAUAGACUCAGUAGCAGUCUUUGAAGUCUCUGGAACUACAGAGGACGGUGCAAGCUGCUCAGACGGCACUACAGACGACGACAGACGCUCUUGAGUGGUAACUAGCAAAGUGAAAAUUGUAGGAGCCUGUAGAGGAGGUGGAGUAGGCUGGCCAGUCAGAGCACUGUAAUAAAACGACAGAUCCUGCCUCGCUGAAGAAUCCAACACAAGCUGAGAAGUAGAGGCAGACUGUGGUGUAAACCCUAAGCAUAGAGGUGUAAACUGAGGUGUCUCCUCAAAGCCAGAGGAGAUAUCACCCUAAGAGACCUGGUGCUGUGGAGUCGUGAACGGCUGGCUAUGAGCAGGUAGCUGGAGCAGAGGCUGAGACUAACUCUGAAGCCCACUGGGCUGUAACACUAGAGUCGGUGGCCUGACAGAGGAUGUGCCUAGAAGCUGCACCUAUGGUAAAGUGAUCCCUGCCACUACCAUGAGAGCUGUCAUCAGUGCUGUCUGCUGGGCCUGGAAGACAAACUACUGCUUCUGGAAAGAGAGAAGCUGUCGCUAAAGCUCGGCCUGCCUGGCCUGCAUGGCUGCAUUAAUAGCAGCCUACUCUCUGUCUCUCCUAGCUUGCUCCUUAGCUGCCCUCUACUGAUCUGCCCUCAUGCCCUCAAGAAUAGCAAGUAAAGCUGGGUCUAUAGUAGUAGAAGAACCUCCUGCCUCGUGGUCAUGCUGCCUCAGAGGGAGAUCUGGGAUAGGUAGGUGAUAGUCAUCAUCAGAACUAUCAGACGCAAAGUCAAACUCCCCCUCGGCCUCGGCAUCUGCAACUGACCCAAUAGCUAUGUCCUGCUCCUCCUUUGUCUCUGGAACUGCCCCUGAACUGUGAGUCGCUCUAGGUGAAACUGGUGGAGCUCUGCCACAUGGUGCUAGAGGAGGUGCUGGAGCUUGGAGGUUCACAUGUGCCCUCAUCAUCUGCCUAGGGUCGUAGUGUGGGAACAAUGUCUCUAUGUCAGUUAGCUCCCUCUGAAUAUGAGGUGGGAGAGGGUCUUCCCUAGUACGAAGAAUGAGAAGAGUGAUCCAAUAUGCAUAGGGUAGCUGACGACGACCCCUGAAACCCUCAGCUAUAGUAUCCUCUAUCUCUGACACAAUCAGAUCCCAUAUGUCAAACUCCCUCUGAGCAACCAAGUGAGCUAUCAAUCACUGCUGGAUCCUAGUGAAACCGUCACGGUAACCAGGCCUCGGGAGGAGAGUCUUCCUCAUCACAAAGUCCAAGAUACAGGAUGGGUAAGACCUCCAACUGAGCGACUGGAACCCUCUAUGAAAGGCUGACGGAAAUACGGUGAGAUAAAGUCCAUAGGGGGAAGCUCACCACCAUGAGGUCAUCGUGGAGGCUCGAAGCUGCCAUAGCAAAGUUGGUGAAUCUUGGUGUCGUAAGCUGUCAGACCCCAAGUCUCAUGUGCCCGUUGAGCUGUGACCCUGUAGUCUCUGCCUGCCAAGGUGUAGUGGAUGUAGCUGUGGUCGGGGGCAAUCCACACUGACGCAUAGAACUCUCACACCCACUCCUCCAUGUAGGUGCCUGGCAAAGCAAGGAGCCCUAGAAGUCCUGGUAGGUAGCUGAAGUACUACCUAAUGUCCUGACCCACCACAUUGCCUAGCACCUCAAGGUCCAGUACCCUUUGCUCUCUGAACUGUGUCUGACUAUGGACGAACACCAUGUACAUGUCCUCCUGGACGACUGUGUAGAACCUGGCGUGCGCCCUCUGAUCUCUGCUAGCUGGAAACCAAGUAGGGAACUACACGAACCUCAGCUCCUAGAUCUCACAUGUAGGUGCACGAGUGUAAUCCUUGUGGAUAUGGGCUGUAGCAGGACAUGGAGCUGGGGUGGGCCGUGCUGGAGUAGAGCGAGUAGACAAGGAAGACCGACGCUGCAUACCAGACCUAGAAGCAGCCUGGGUAUGAGCGCGAGUCGACCUGUGGAGAGGCUGCUCCUCCGGCUGUGCCUCUUCCUAUCCCUCUGCCUGUGCCUCUGCCUCCUUGUGUCCAGGCUCUCGGACAUCUAUCCUGAUAGGACGUCCUCCUAGCAUGAUGCUGCUAGGUGGAGUCCCAUGCUACUGCUCUAUCUCAAGAACUGCAUGCCUCUGAGCUGGCGUGAGAUCAGUUCCAAUCCGAAGAGCUCCUGACCGUCCACCUUCCUCUGCUGCCUCUGCUGCUGCCGCAACUGCCUUUGCAACCUCAGCCUCACAGUCGCCAGCCUUCCUCUUCUUGGCUAGCACCUUCUUCCCCUUACCCUUCUCUAUAGCUGUGAACCGACGGGGAGGAUCAUCUCCCCCCACCUCAUGGAGUGCCACCUGUGCUGCCAGUCGAACCACCGAUGUUCUUGCAAUGUGGCAUUGCAAGAACUCCCACACACAAGCCUGAACUGACACUCGAGAGGCUUGGCCUCAAUCCAUACUCGCGGGCUUAGCCCCGAGUUCAAUCUGACACUGUCAAACUGCCAAACUGAGACUCACGUGUUGUAAGAGAUGGAAUAGAUAGGGUAUACAUAAGCAAACAUAAUAGCUAGAGGAGAGAAAGCCCUAAAGAUCGCAAGCAAUAGAUGAGAAAAGACUAGAACAACUUACAACCUGCGACGAGACGCAUUCCCGAUGAAAUAUGAAGAUCGAGAACCACCGGAGAACAUGAAUCAAGGCCUCAAGGUGCUGCUAGGGUGAAACAAAGGAGAACGUCAUCAAAAACCAUGUUCAGAUUUGUUCAGACAUAUAAUCAAACACCUGGAGGGCAGGGUUCAAGAAACUCACCCCAAACCCUAGAAUCUCAGGAGAAAACACUUCAGGGGGCGCAAGGGAGGAGGAGGGCACCACUAGGAAGCUUCUUGACGCCUAGGAAGAGGAAGUUCACCGGAGGAAAACAAGUCCAUGCGGGUGGAGGUGACUAGGCGAUUAGGGCUCGCUUUUGGCUUUCGGUGAGUUCGCGGAGAAGAAAGGAAGAAACUGCCAUAAAGAUUGCGGGGCUCGGGGUUUAUAUCGCAUUCACGGGGGCACUGGACGCGCUUAAGUUGGCACUAGACACGUUCGGUGCCCACCGGACUUAUACGCAGAGAGCUUCCAAAACUUGCACGAUCACCGGACGCAGGCCAUCGGACGCUCGCCUAGCAUCCGGUGCUGCAAGGCACGCCCCAGGGUACACCGCACGCACCACACUAGACGCGCUCAGCGCACUAUAGCGGGUCCGGUGGGUGCAGAACAGGAGACCCACUACAUCGGACGCUCUGGGGGUGCGUCCGGUGCACCUUUGACCAGAAAUUCAACAGAGACCUUCGCUCGACUUUCACCCAACCAAGUUCCAACUUCGUGAAGACUCAAAUAAGCUCCAAUUAGAACUGGUAUGAGUGACCUCUCUCAAACCCUCAAUUUUUCACAAAUAUUUAGCCAUAUGCUUAGUAGUUUUUAUGAAAAUAGUCGAAUGAAAGCGCCAAGGAGCAUCGUGUGGCCAUAAAGCUAGGGGUCUAAAUCAUGAUGAGCUUUAAAUGCUCCCCCUAUCAAUGGACGAACACAGCAGAUGCUCAAAGCAUAACCAGAAAGAAACGAUAAAUCAACAAGCAUGCAUAUGAUAUGAAAUGCAAUGCAAUACUUGAAAGUAAACUAAUGCUUGUCAAGUUUGAUCUAAGGUUAAGCUUUUUCACACACACAUGGGGGUUAUCUUAACCAUGUUAGACAAGCCCUACUCACAAUCUUUUUUUUUGUAUUUUUAUUUUUUGGUAUGCAUGACAUGCAAAAUAUGAGCUAUUUACAAGAGCAACACACAACUUUAUUUUUUAGUGAAGUUAGAAAGAUCAAGCACAUUUAGUUCACUUCUCAACAUACAAAACCUAGCUUCAUCUAUGGGUUUUGAGAAGAAAUCCGCCAAUUGAUUUUCCGUCCCCACAUUCCCUAGGGAUAUGUCACCUUUAGCAACAUGAUCCCUAAGAAAGUGAUGACGGAUGUCAAUGUGCUUAGUGCAGGUGUGUUGAACUAGAUUGUUUGCAAGUUUUACGGCACUUUAAUUGUCACACAACAAAGGUACUGUUGACUGUCCUUAAGUACUAAAUUUAACCAUCAACUAAACAUGGAAAAUGAUGAAUAUGAACCAAACAUCUAGAAUUAGGGUUUUAUCUGACAGAAUUCCACGAGCUUUGGUGUUUAUCGAUUUCUGUAGGGGGUUAUCAGAAAAUAUGGAGAGAAGGCCCACAUGUUAGGUUUACAACGAGAUAAUUACGUGCCGCGCAAUUUUCCUUAAUCUAGAAGAGUCCAGAAGUCACGGGAACGAACGGGAGGCGGAACGGGCCCGGGGGCCGGGCGCCCGCCCUCCCCCCUUGGGCGCCCGCCCUACCGUGGUGGCCAAUCAGGAUAGGUCUCCUGGAUCGUGCUCCACCGCCUCUAAUCUUCAAGAAUAACCGUGCGAUUUAUGUCGGUUUGAACCGACGGCCCAAAUUCAUCUGAGGGGGCUAUAUAAGCAAGGCCUCUGCUCCCCAGGGGAUGAGGAGAAAUCGUUAUCAGAGGAAGCCAUAAAAGUUAGGGUUUAGGAACUUCUCUCCCACAGAGAAUUACAAUUAGCUACUCCCUAAUCCUUCAAGUUCUAUAGGAUUGAUUAGAUAGAAUUAGACAAGUAGAGCCUAGUGCUCUGGAUUCGGAUCUUCAUCAACAAAGAUUGGUAUUAUUUCAUAUCUUUCUCUACUACUUUAUUCUAAUUGCAUUAUGUCUCUAUUUAUUAUGUUCUUAGUUUGCUCUAGUUCUAUAUUUGAUAUAGUUAUGAUUGAUAAUGAGUUUAUGUAUAAGUUUGCAAAGCGCUUAGCUCUUGACUCGAGGGAGUUAAGUGGUAGAUCAUAUGUGGGCGUGGUGCUUAGAUAUUAUUUACCUGCAAAUGUAUCCUAUUGGCCGGGUCGUGUGGUAGUUCACGAUAGUGACAGCUUCGUUGAUUCUUAUAUAGUCCACCCUCCGUUGAUAGGACAAGCAGAAUUUGUAUUGCGGAGUAAGACUUGCGAUGUUCUGAUUGACUUUAGCAAUGUUCCUUAUACAUGAAUAAAGAGUCUUUUGUGCUAUAUAUGAUCUUGUAGAUAACUAGAGUAGAUUGUGACUUAGUAGAUAGUAGAUACUCAGAAUCCAUUCUCUAGCUAAUCCGACGUCACCUUAUAUAUAUGAGGAGUAGUUUAUUUCUAAUCGCUGUGUUAUUUACCCAUGAGCUUAUAUUUCACUAUCUUUAUUAUUAUGGCUUACCCCCUGCCAAAGCAAGUGACUGUGUGACGAGUUCCUCAUUAGUAAUCAUGUUCUUGCAAGUUUAUCUCUAGUUUAUGCCUUGACAGAUUUUACCCAUGUUUUCACUUUCGCUGUUCUCUUAAGCAAAAAUAUAAAUAACGAUACCCGAAAUACUUUUCCUGGUGAAAUGCUACAAUAAGGUAUUUUAUCUGUGCGCUUGCAGAUAGAAUAGAUUAUUUUCUAGAGAGCCUCCAUAUUUAUAAAUACCUUUGUACACUCUGGCACCAUGCUGGGGAUGACAACCUAGUAUCCAAGUGGUGUUAGUAAGUGUCAACAAGCAUUUCUGGCGCCGUUGCCAGGGAACGGUAAGGAAAGUCAGGAAGUCAGUUAAGGUUAUUCACAUAAAAUAUUAGACUAGACUAUGGAGAAAUACCUGCAUAAAAUAGCUACUAAAUGAGAAAUCAUAACAAGGCACCUCUGCUUUGGCAAGUUCACCCUGUUGUUUUUCUAUGUUUAUAUUUUUAUACAAGGUAUAUCAGGAUUGACUUUGGUACAUUCAACUCUUUAUCAUUAGAACCAAAGCAAUCAAGAAAGAAAGAAGAAGCUACCUACCAAUUGCUGAAGCUAUGACACAAAAGACCUUGCGAGAAUUCUCUGCUCCAAGUCUUGAGAACAUUCCAACUGGUCCAAGAUUUGAAGAAGAAGAAGGAGCACCCGAGUUCGAGCUCAAGUCAAGCCUCAUCAAUUUGGUGCAAGCUACACAAUUCAGCGGAAAGGCACAUGAAAAUGCUAGUGCACACUUGUAGAAUUUCUUAGAGAUUGGAAGCACAAUCCGCAUCAACAGAGUCGACAAAGACAUCAUACUGCUUCGCCUUUUUCCAUUCUCACUAGAAGAGAAGGCGAGGAAGUGGUUCUACACUCAUCAAGAUAACAUCAACAACUGGGCGAACUUGUCAGAUGCCUUUCUAUCAAAGUUUUUCCCUAUAGGCAAAACAACUGCCUUAAGAGGAAAUAUUGUCAGUUUCCAACAGCAGAAGACAGAAACCAUUUCAGAAGCAUGGGAGAGUUUUCAAGGAUACAUAUUAGAUUGCCCUCACCAUGGAGUGGCUAGAUGGUUACUGAUGCAGACCUUCUACCAUGGAUUAACCCAGAAGGCUCGUGAGUGCCUAGAUGCAUCUGCUAAAGGAUUAUUUUUGGAGCUUACAAUUGGAAAAGCAGAGAUACUUUUGGAUAAGAUAGCAGAAAACCAAAGCUGGUUCCAAGACAAAGCUCAACAUUGUCAUCAAACUGAAGAAAUACCCGAAGAAGUAAAUGCACUAUCAACCAAGGUGGAAAAUUUGCUCCAUUGGAUUGACGAGAGGGCCAAGUUCAAAGAAGAUCAAAGGGCCAUUGAGACAACAUACAAAUAUCAACCCACUUUGAGUCAACCCAAUAGCAAAGAUAUGAAUUCAGGUAACACUUUCAAGCAACUUUCAUUAAAAGAGAUAAUUGCUCAACAAACCAAAACUAAUGAUGAAGUUAAACAAAGGCUAGAUACAAAUCAAUCAUCUCUAAAAGAUAUACACAAUAAAAUGGAUUUUCUAUUAACUGCCUUUGAUGAAAUAGAGAACAACAGCACCAGUGCAACCAGUAGUAAUAGAAGAAGAAAACCCAGUUGAAGCAGAAGAUCUGCUACAACCACCAAGAGCUGGAGAAAUAAGAAAAGAUUUUUACGACACCAACUAUUUGCCAUUUCCUAGAAGAAACAGAGGACUGCAGUCGGAUGAGCAGUUUGGUAAGUUUGUAGAGGUCAUUUAGAAAUUAUAUGUCAACAUACCUCUGCUUGAUGCCAUACAGGUACCCACAUAUGCAAAGUACAUCAGAGAUAUUCUUAACAAGAAAAGACCACUGCCCACCACUGAGGUUAUCAAGCUGACAGAAGAAUGUAGUGCGGCCAUCCUUGACAAACCACCUAGGAAGAAGAAGGAUCUAGGAUGUCCCACCAUUGAUUGCUCGAUCGGAAACCAACACUUCAGCAAUGCACUUUGUGAUCUCGGAGCAAGUGUCAGUGUGAUGCCAGCAUCAGUCUACAAGAAGCUUGAGCAUACGACCCUAGAACCAACAUCAAUGUGCCUGCAACUAGCAGAUCAAUCAGUUCGACACCCGAUGGGCAUCGCUGAAAACGUCCCAGUCAAGAUAAGAGAUUUCCUUAUGCCAGUAGACUUCGUGGUACUAGACAUGAAUCCCGACUCAAAAGUAUCCAUCAUCCUUGGAAGGCCAUUUCCAAGCACUACCAAUGCCCACAUUGAUGUUGGGAAGGGAGAAAUCAAAUUCAACAUAAACGGAAAAGAAGAACACUUCACAUUCAAGCCCAGACCAGAGUGAGACUCUACAGUGAAGGAAGUUCAUGAAGAAGAACCACUGGAGACACCAUCUCUGGAGGAAGGUAAUUCAGAAGAUUAAAAGAUUUGGAGGUCUGUUGGGUAUUUUAAACGCAAUCAGAAAAAUCCACAAGCGCAUGGAUACCGAUGUAGCUUUCACCUGGGAGUAUCCAGAGUAUCGAUUUUCCACAGGGAACAUGAGUGCACUAAUUAAGAUUCAAGAUCGCCCAAGGAUAACUAUAUUGUUGACGGUCCUUAAGUAUUAAAUUUAACCAUCAAAUAAACAAAGAAAAGGAUCCAAAUGAAACAAACAUCUAGAAUUAGGGUUUUAUCUGACAGAAUUCCACGAGCUUUGGUGUUUAUCUAUUUCUGCAGGGGGCUAUCAAAAAAUAUGAAGAGAAGGCCCACAUGUCAUGUUUACAAUGAGAUAAUUACGUGCUGCGCAAUUUUCCUCAAUCUAGAAGUGUCUAGAAGCCACGGGAACGAACGGGAGACCGGACGGGCUCGGGGGCAGGGCGCCCGCCCUCCCCCUUGGGCUCCCGCCCUGCCCUGGUGGCCAAUCAGGACAGGUCUCCUGGAUCAUGCUCCACCGACCUAAAGGAUCAAGGAAAACCGUGCGAUCAAUGUCGGUUUGAUCCGACGGCCCAAAUUCACUUGAAAGGACUAUAUAAUCAAGGCCUCUCCACCCCAGGGGGAGAGAGGAGAAAUCAUUAUCAGAGGUAGCCAUCAAAGUUAGGGUUUAGACAUCUCUCACAUAGAGAAUUAGAAUUAGCUACUCCCUAAUCCUUCAAGUUUAGAUGAUUGAUUAGAUAGCAAUUAGAGAAGUAGAGCACUACGCUCUGGAUUCGGAUCUUCAGUAAUAAAGAUUGGUAUUAUUUCAUAUCUUUCUCUAAUACUUUGUUCUAAUUGUAUUAUGUCUCUAUUUAUUAUGCUCUUAGUUUGCUCUAGUUCUAUAUUUGAUAUAGUUAUGAUUGAUAAUAAGUUUAUGUAUAAGUUUGCAAAGCGCUUAGCUCUUGAUCACAUGUGGGCGUGGUGCUUAGAUGUUAUUUACCUACAAAUGUAUCCUAUUGGCCGGGUCGUGUGGUAGUUCGCGAUAGUGACAGCUUCAUUGAUUCUUUUUGUUGGGUAUUUUAAAUGCAAACAGAAAAAUCCGCAAGCGCACGGAUACCGAUGUAGCCUUCACCCGGGAGUAUUCUGGAGUAUCGAUUUUCCAUAGGGAACGUGAGUGUACUAAUUAAGAUCCAAGAUCGCCCAAGGAUAACUAUAUAAUUAUUUUUUGGUGGGAAGAGAGGAAGUUUCCUGAGAGUUCUCUAAUUGAUCUAAGAAUCAAGAAUUACUUCAAAGAUUAUUUAUUUCGGGACAUCAAAACACUAACCACAGAAAGAGAUGAGAAGGGGGCUAGGAAGCUCUGACUACGGUUCUACAAACACCGAUCCGAACGAGGUGGAAUACGUCGACCGUUAGGGCUGUCACUACCCUAGGGCUACCACAACAAUCCGCAGGAUUGGAUGCAAUUCCAGGUAAUUGCAAGACUAAACACCACGUCUAAUCUGUUAAUUACUACUCUAGCGUUAUAAAGACUAGAGCACUUUAUGCAAGCGGGAAUCCAAUAAAUAACUUGAAUGUAAAUAAAAGUAAUUAAAGAACUCAGGAAUUAUGAAUUGAAGAACUUGAGGAACGAUGAAGAACGAACCAGUUGCUGCAAAAGUACAAUGUUGAGGAAGAUCCGACAGAUCCAGCUCCUCCGCUCUCCUCUUCUCUCUCCCUAUUUUCUAGAUUACAACUAGAACUAACUAGAGCUAGAACUAGAGGAACUAGAACUAGAACUAGAUGAACUAGAGGGAUCCUCUCUACUUGGAUGAAGAAUUGAAACCCUAGCUUUGAUUCUGUAGAAGAGAUAUCAUCUCCAGGGGCCAGGGGGCCUUGCUUAUAUAGUCUUUUCAGGUGAAUCUGGGCCGUCGGAUCAAACUGACAUUAAUCGCACAGUUUUUCUUGAUCCUUUAGGUCGGUGGAACAUGAUCUCUGAAAAGGACUCUGUUUGGGCACUGUAGGUGGGCAGGCGCCCAGGAGAUUAGGGCACGCGCCCUGCCUCCGAGCCCGAUCGCCUUCCUGUUCGUUCCCAUGGCUUCUGGAGUCUUCUAGAUGGUAGAAAAUUGCACGACACGUUAAUAUCUCUAUGUAAACCUGACGUGUGGGCCUUUCCUCCGUAUUUCCUGAUAACCCCCUGCAGAAAUAGACAAACACCAAAACUCGUGGAAUUUUGUGAGAUAAAACCCUAAGUCUAGGUGUUGGUUGCAUUUGGGUCCUUUUCCAUGAUUAGUUGACGGUUAAAUGUGAACAUUAAGGACCGUCAACAAGCUCCCCCAAGCUUAAUCUUUGCUCGCCCCUAAGCAAAGAUGAACUCAAGAGUUUCUGCAGUGGUUUCAUGCCUUAAAUAUAUACAUGCGUUCAAACAAGAUCUCAUCUCUGGGUUAGGGUAAACUGUUAAGAUUUAAACUUACUCAUUUUUCCUUCCACCAUGGGGCUUGCAACCGUCACUUGUGUCUUGAGCAGUUAAAAGAUAGAACGGUCUAAUCAAGCGCCAUGUCUCUUGUUCUUUGAUUAACUAUAGCUCUGGAGUUUUUGCAGAUUUUCAAAUAAAACUCAGAGAUUCCUUGUAUGACUCUCUCUAGUCUCUCUUUUGUGGUAUUUCUGGAUCCUUACCAAGGCAGUAAUGGUGUAUGCCUACUCUCAAAGUAUGUGGUAUUGUUGGUAUGAGGCAUAGUGGCAUUGCCAUCUCUCUGACCCUACUCUAAUAAGGUUUUGAUAUCUGGAGCUCAUAGGUGGGAGACAGCUAAUACAUACUUACAAAACAUUUAUUGCAUAGUCAAACCAUGGAUCCAGAAGAACAAGUCAAUAAGUCAAAUCAAGAUGUGCAUGUGUGGCGAAUGAAUGGUGUAUGGUGACGAUGGUGAUAACAAUGGUGAAAGUCUAAUUCUACUUGUGCUCUUUUGAGGGGAUACAUACCUUUCUUGCUCUUUUGAAACUUUUUGAGGAGAAUGAGAUGCUCUAUAUUUUAUUUUUCUUUUCUCUCAGGUGGGUAUCUUGUACCCCUAAUUCUACUGUCGGACACUUGUCCAUUUUUACCUCUCGUCUCACUUUUUCUUUUCUUCGAGGUUCCGGGCACUUGCCCCUUUUUAUUUCCUCGUAUCCUUUUUUUUCUUUUUUUUAGAGCACUCAGCUCCUGAAAUAAUAUAGCAAGUGGUAGUAACCAAGAUAACUUGAGCAUUUAUUUCACAGAGAAAAACAAGAAUAGGAGAAUGUUUUUGGCUAUUCUCUCCCGGAUUAGGAGUAGAAUAUUUUUUGGGUGGUUCUGGAGAUGGAAAUAGAUGGAUAUAUGUGGAUGCGUACUUCUGGAGUAGAAGCAACAUGUAUGAGUGAACGUGCAAGUAAAUCUUGAUUUAACCACAUGACAAGCUCCUAAGGGUCUACACAGCUUGACCACACUCAAUGCUCAUAAGCAGUAAAAAGUAAAUGUGUGGCUCAAAGUUUAGUAAGCAUGUAUAUAUGGCUGUGGUAGGAAUUUAAACUCUCAUCAUACAGCAACUCAUCAUGUGAUAUUUUAAAGAUUUUCAAAGAUAAAAUUCUCUAGAAUUCUAGCAUCUCUAGGAACAGAUAAACAGCAGCUCAACCUUCCCAUAUCAUAUCCGUUAACGACUUAGACUUUAGAUCAAGUACUCUCCCCACAAGUUCAGGUUUAGAUCAAAUCUUAAUUAAUACCAGUCAUGCCUAAACUUGAGAGAGAUUUCAAUUUUAAGAACUAGUCAUGGCAGAGCAACUAUUCAUCAUUUCCAUGUGAGAGCUUAUCAUGAGAGUUCAUAGCAAACUUUAUUUAUUUAUUUAUUUAGCAAACUAAGCGA